AUCGGAGGUCGUUAGAAUGACCAGUGGCGGAGUCUGGGCUCACGCGAUCGCUGGUGGAGCAUGUUUGGCCCCGGUCACGAGUACGGGACCGUGGUCGAGGGAUGGUUGACCGUGGUCUGGGCUCAUGCGACCAAGAAGGCUUAGAUGCAGUCUAAUCCUGCUUCUCCUUGGUUCCUGCUGGGCCGAGUAGUUGGGAACCAAUCUUUCUUUUUGGUUUUUCGAGUUUUUUGAUUAUUUUUUUGGCUUUUUUUUUUUAAGAAACACCUGAAACUAAGAAAAAUAAAAAGAUCAAUAGAAAAAAAAAAUCCUAAAGAAACACAAUAUCUAAAUGGGUUGCCUCCCAUGGAGCACUUCUGUUUUAAGUCGUUUAGCUCGACUUGGCUUCCUAAGGUAAGCUUAGUCCUUAAAAGACAAUGUCUUGCGAAAAGUCAUAUUUGCUUUUCUUUGUUUUUUCUUUUGUAUAUCCCUGAUAAGGACAUUCCCAAUUGGAAAGUUUUUCCUUAGGUUCGAGAUAGUAGUCUCCUCCGGGAUCAAAAAUCAGUCUUGGAGCUUCUUUAAGGUAUGAGUCUUCAACACCACUUAUGAUAGGAGAACGUCCUGGAAGCUUGUAUGAUGAGGUGAAUGAGAUCUCUCUCACGUAAUAGAAUUGAACCAUGUUGCAAGAUACAAGGAAGAAUGAUUCUUUAUGAUCUGAAGUGGUGGAAAAAGUUAAGUAUCCAAGGUGAGGCAGUUUGCUUGGAGAGGUGUCGCCAUGACUUGAGCUGUCGGAGAGCUGGUAAGAAAUACAAUCGGCCACGGGUGCAAGUGUCACGACUGCAGUGAAAGGGGGUUCAGCCGCGGGUGCAUGUGUCACGACCGUGGUGAAAGGUGGUUUGGCCGCGGGUCUAGACUCUGCACCAGUGUUUGGUUCUUCUUGCUUCUCGUCUCCAAUUAUUUUCCCUUGUGAAGGGUCUUAGGAAAAGAGUCUUGAGGGCCACUUAAGCUUCACUUUUGUUUCAAUCAAGUCUCCAUCACCUCUCAUAUGAGCAUUGUUUGAAGGUGUACAUAAGGAAAUUCUUUUGUUCAUCAACCUUGUCAUUCCGACGUUUUCUUCAAGUGUUACGAGUGCACUUUUUCUAAAACGUAUCCAACAUCCUUCGUCUCUCCUCCAGGGUCAAAUAUUGGGUCAUCUACACUGCCUAUGAUCAUACAAUGAGAGUUCUUUGUAGGAAUCGCAGGAUGUGAGGUUUUCUUGUUGAUCUUUGAGAAACACAUAUGUUGAUUCAGGUAGUUGAUGAUUGUUUCAGCAGAUGCUUGGAAAGAAGUACCAAAUAUUAAUGGUUUUGUUAAAUCAUUUAUCAUUCCAAUAACAUGGAAAUCAGUAGAAACAAGACAAUCCUCCCCUUGAAAAGGCAAUUCGGGUUUGAAACAGAGUGGAGUUGCACCCAAAAAAAUCUCCAUAGUGAAUAUAAAUCUUAGAGGAAUGAAAAAUCAAAAUACCUAUAUUCUCUGCAAUGGUUUUUGGUAUGAGAUUCACAUCAGGUCCAGUAUCAGAAAGAGAAUCACGAAAUUUCACUCCCUUGAUCGAGAAUGGGGCAUCAAACUUCUCGGGAUCUUUCAUCUUAGAAAGCAUCUCCAAUGGUGGUCUGGAUGUCACCAUUCGUGUCUCAUCUUUCACGUGGUUUGUCUUACACUCAAGGUGAUGAGGGGCUGAAGGAGAAAAAAGGCUUUGGUUCAUCAAGAGGAGGUGACUUAUGAUCUUUUUUUUUGUCUCCAAAACACUUGAACGAAUCGGUAGAGACGAGAUCGUCACUAGGGAUAGAAACAGGUGGUUCUCCUUUUUCUUGAUGACUGGCUUCCAUGAAAUUAUGAUCCAAAGGACUUUCAUUUAAUGGCCUCUUUCUAAAAAACUUGAUGGAGGGUUCUCCAUCUACUUCAUAAACUACCCAAUACCCGUCAUCCGUAGAUUCAUUGAUCUCUUAAUGCAUAUCAUCCAUCUGGGUUUGGGAGAUAGACGACAUCUCUUCAUCAAAGAGAGGAUCAUGGAUAUCUCUGUUGUCAUUGUAAGCUGAAUAAGGGUCGUGGUCCUUGUAGAUUCCUUGUUCUUCUAAAACUUUGUCAAUUGAUUUGUUGUGGCUGCGAAGUCCUCUUGUGUGGUGGUUCGGAAUUGAAUUAUGAUCCAUUGAGCACAGAUCACAAAUGUAUUGUGCUUCUUGGUGUCGAGUGGCUUCAGGAGUGUUGUAAAAACCUUCCUCAUAUUAGUGAUUUCGAUCCAUAGGGUUCAUUGCUUCAGAACCUGAAAAAAGAGAACCAAAAACGAAAAUAAGUAGAAAAGGGUGUUCUAAAGUCGAUUUACUAACCUUUCUAGGGUUUUUCGGAAGAGAAAACGCUUGCCUUCCCCGGCAACAGCGCCAAGAACUUGAUGCAGUGUGAGUGCGGGAACAAGUUUUACCCUAAUAGAAUCAAUUAAAGCCGCAUGUGCACAGCUAAUCGAUUGUAGUACUUAGAGAUCGAAUCCACAGGGAAGGAGGAUCUUUUUCUGCAAAAGUCUUUGUAAGAAAUAUGAAGUAAGAAAGUCUAGAACUAAUCGAUAUUUUGAAGGGAUUUUGGGGUGUCACUAAAACGUAAUCCUAAACUAAAUGGGAAAAGGAAGAAAAGACUAAAAACUAAAAUAACCUAAUGAUAAAACUUGAGAAAAUCGACUGGAAAAAUAAAGAAGACUUAACGUAAAAAUCAAUGUAAGACUAUUAAAAUGAGACACUGGGUUUCCAGAGAAAUUAUCUCCCAGAUAUGAACGAUUCAAAACAUUGUUAAAAAGUAAUUUAAAGGAUCCUAGAUAAAACUUUUAGACGCUCCAGUAUCUAGAAUCCACACCUCAGAGGAACGAGUGCGGUCCUUCAGCACUAGAGCAACAUCCUCUUCAGACCUUGUGUCAGCUUCUGCUACUGGUAGCAGAUCAGGUUGCUUCUUCUUUUUGGGAUAUUCAGAUUUCUAAUUUUCUAUCUCUUUACAGUGUUACAAACAUCACCUGGAUGAGGACCUUUUCUAGACGACUUCUUCUUUUUCACAUAUCCCAUUACCACUACUGACAAAUAGUCCACAGUCUUGACUGUUUGUACCUGUACCCGAUGCUUUAUGACGCAGCUCCCUACUGUGAAGAGAGGACAUGACUUCCUCUAGUGAAACUGUAUCUUUACCGAGUAUGAAUGAUUGGAUGAAGUUUUUGUAUGAUAACGGCAGAGAUACCAACAGAAGCAAAGCAGCAUCCUCAUCCUCCACCUUAACAUCGAUAUUACACAGUUCUAGUAAUAAGGUGUUCAACUGAUCUGAGUGAUCCCUGAGUUGUGUACCUUCCUGCAUUCUCAAUGCAAAUAGACAAUGUUUCAGAAGCAAUUUUUUCGUUAGAGACUUUGUCAUGUACAACAUCUCCAAACUCCCCCACAAACCAGCCGCAGUCUUUUCGUUUGCAACCUCAGUGAUGAUAUCAUCUGCAAGACAGCAAAAUCGUUGAGUAUGCUCUGUCCUCCAGACCUGUCAUUGCAGUAGCAUCGCCCUUGUUGUCUUUCAACAGCGCCGCCCACAAGCCCUGUUGCUUCAGCAACGCUUGCACCUUGAUUUGCCAGAGACUGAAAGUGUUCCUCCUUGUGAACUUGUCAAUACUCACGUUUAACCCAUAUAUCUUCUCAUCAAAUACGGAAAUUUCCAGAACCUGGAGUUCUAAUACCAAUUUGUUAUAACCCAGACUAUAUGUGUUAUUGCAACAUGCAGUCUCACUCCAAAAUCCUCUCUCGCCAUGUACAAGGUCAAACUUUAUGGCAGAGACAAGCAACGACUCAAAGAAAACGCUACUAGACUUAGAAUACAUCAGCUCUCAUUCUGAACUGAUUAGCUUUACUUUAAGUAACAUGUGAAGGGGGCAUUUUAUGUUAUGAAAGAAAAUUGUACCUCUCUUUUUGUAUGUUUGGUAAUGUUGAUAUAUGGCUUAAACUGAAAUUAUUGUUUGAGGUGGCGAGGGAAUGAGAAUGGAACUAUAACUAUAUGAUGUUUAAUCAUUCAGUCAAUAUGAAGUUUAGUCUUCGAAUUAGAUCGCUGAGAGCAUUGCUCGUGAUACAAGAUGACCAAUAGUUCAAGAUGCUAAUUUGUUCGAGCUCACCGAGUUGGUAAGUAAGAAAUAAAAGUAGCAUUAUGGCACAAUAUGAUUUUUUGGUGUGCAUUCAUAUUUGUCUUUUACUUGCAACUUUGUCUAUCUAUAGUUCUACAUGGUAAACAGCUCAUACCAAUAACACUUCGACUAAUGCUCAAUUGUACUCGAGGUUAUUGUGCAUGAAUUGUUCAUUAUUAUCGUUCUAUUUCAUGUGAUGAUGCGCAAGAUUGAAACUUAAUCACAUUAUUAAAUCGCAUAUAGUGUAUGAUAUACCCUAAUGAAAGAUUUACUGAACUCAAACUAAUUAAUAUAAAUUAGACAAUCAAUAAUAUAUAUAUAUAUAUAUAUGUGGGAAAUUGAAACUUUUAAUUUUAAUGAAGCAACCCAAUUCCAAAUAUAAUAUUAUAACUACUUAACUAGAUGAUAAUCUUAUAUUAUUAAUUGAGAAUGACAUUUUAAAAACAACAUUCACUUAUGUGUGAUUUAUAAAAAUGUCAUGCUGAUGUGUUGUCAUGAGAGAGUUUCUCAAAACACAUAUAAAAAAGGUUGUUUUACUAGAGUAAUUACAUCAUAUGUUAUUAACAUCAAAUUGGUUAGAAAUUAAUAUAUAUCAAUUAUAUAUUUGAUACUCAACAUUUAAUUUGUAAAGAUAUUCUCUUUUUCUAUUUCUUAUCAACAUAUUUUUUAAAAAAUAAUAUAUAAUAUUACUUAUGUUAUUACACAUUAUAUUCUUUUAUCUCAUCUUUCUUUGAUCUUAUUUUUGUGAAAAAAUAAUCACAUUAUUCAUUUAAUAAAAAAAUCUUAGUUCUUUUCAGACAUAUUAUAAUUUUAUUUUUUAUAUCAAAAGCAAAAUAUUUUAGUCAUAUGUUGAACAGGUUAUAUAGAACUUAUUAAUCUAAUUUAGAAUAUUCAAAAUGUACAAUUUAUUCAUAUAAAAAUACUAUUAAAAUUGCCAAUAAUUAUCUACCAUUUAUGCAAUUUUGUUAAGAAAAAAUAAAUAUAAUUAUAAUCAUUAUUUGAAUUGUAUAAUCAACGCAUAGAUUUAUAAUUAUAAAUAUUAGCUAAUAUUUUUGUAAUUAUAUUUAUAUACAUUAUAUUUUCAUAUUUAAAUAAAAAAAUUAUAAUUAAUAUUUAUCCCGCACAGGAUGCGGGUAAUCACAUAAUAUUCUAAAGAGAUAUUUACGCUUAAAGGCACUUUUUACAACUGAUAUUACACUCAAAGGCACUUCUUGCUAUUAUGUGACUUUUCUAUUUUUCAUUCCGAAAUUUUCCUUCGUGUUCACGAUAACGGUGGAUAUGAACUGGUGGAUAACCGAAUUAAACCCAUAUUUUAAAAACAUUAAUUAUUUUUCCCUUUUUGUUUUGUUUCGUAUUUUUCUGUAUUGUGAAAGAUUUAAAAUAUUUUUUUUUGUUAGAAUAAAUUCUAAUUUUAUUUUGCCAUUGUUUUAAGAUCAUUAUGCUAUACUUUAUUUAUCAAACAAAAAACUUUUCAAAUAACCUUUAUAAAAAACUAAAAAAAAAAAUCAGAAAUCUACUUAGAUAUCCAUUCACAAAAUACGAUGUGGAUGAUGCAUAAUGAACAUAUAACAUGGACACGAUUGCGUGAAUAUAUUUUUAUUGAUAUAUUCGACGUGGAUAUACAUUUAUAUUGUCAAUAACAUGGACAGAUUAUGGAUAGAUUAUGGAUAAUAUAAAAUAUAUAUAUAUAUACCGAAUAUAUCAAUGAAAACAUAUCCAUGCAAUCAUGUCCACAUUGUGGACAAUGCAAAAUGUAUAUUCACGUCGAAUAUUUGAAUGAAAACAUAUCCACGCAAUCAUGUCCAUGUUAUAUGUCCAUAAUGUAUCAUCCACAUCGUAUUUUGUGAAUGGAUAUCUAAGUAGAUUUCUGAUUUUGUUUUUAAUUUUUUAUAAAGGUUAAUUGAAAAUUUUCUUGUUUGAUAAAUAAAGUAUAGCAUAAUGGGUCUUAAAACAAAGACAAAAUAAAAUUAGAAUUCAAUCUAAUAAAAAAAAUUGUUUUAUAUCUUUACAAUACAGAAAAAUACAAUACAAAACAGAAGAGGAAAAAUAAUUAUUGUUUUUAAAAUCUGGGUUUAAUUCGGUAUCCACGAGUUUACAUCCACCGUUUUCGUGAACACGGGAGGCAAUUUCGGAUUAUUUUGGUGUGAACAGUGUUUAAAGUACAGAAAAAGUCCUCUAAUAGCUGAAAGUGUCUUUUUGUAAGAAUAAGUUGUGAAAGUGUCUUUCAGUGUAAAUCACUCUAUUCUAAAUUAGAGAAUAUUGAACCGUAAUCAAGAAUUAAUAAACUCAAAUCGAUAAUCCCGUAAUCUAUAGUAGACCAUCUAUACAUGACAUGUUUCAAAUGUAAACCCUAAAUUGGAAAUUGGAAUGAGGGGUUUCAAAUGUAUUUAGUGAACAAAAUCCUAUAUAUUAAAUGAGAAUGUACUUUAAUGAAAAAAAUCCGAUUUGUUUUAAUUUGAUUGGCUUAGAAAACUUCCCUUGCCAACAUCAAUGAUGACGUUUCUUCCGCGUCAAAUGUAAUAUGGCAAGGUCGCUAACUCUGCAAUUUCAUUGGAUGAUGAUGCUGAUGUGUAAAUUCUGUCCAAGUUUUUUAUGAUAUAAAAUAAUUAAGAAAUUAGAAAAUCACAGACGGAUAAACACGUGGAUCUUUAUACCCGACCCAGCCUAAUUAUCUGUUUUUAAGAACAUUAUUUGGCCUUAUACGUCUGAGAAGCCCAUUUUUCAAAUUUUAAAAAUUUUCUCUUUUAAAUCUAUUUCUCGCUUAUAUAGAAUAUUUCGAUAUUUAAUUUAAUUUAUUCAUGAAGAUUUCGUAUCUAAAUUAUCGCUCAUCUAUGGCAAUUCAUUCCAUUUGAAUAUUUGAAUUUAAAAACAUUUCCUGAACUGUAGCUAUUUCUUCCAACUACAAUAUGAAUAUUCUCUAAUUUGAAUUUCAUAGUUUAGGGUUUAUUCACCUCAAUUGUUUUCCAUAUAUAUAGCAUCAUACCAAAAGGCCGAAACGAUACUAUCAUCUUCUCAAAAUGUCUAUAGUACGCCUAUCUGGAGCACCUAUUGUUCCUUUUGCUAAAUUAGAUCCUACUACCAUUCAGCAAGUUAGGGCUAAGAUAUGUUACAUCUGGAAAGUGAUUAACAAACAUUCACGUUUUAGAGUCGAAAUGAUUUUAAUUGAUGAGGAGAUAUGUCAUUUAUUAACUUUUACUUUUUUAUUUCAUCUUGAUUUAUAUUGAUUAUACAAAGUGAUAAAAACUUCGACAUAACAGGGAUCAAGGAUUCACGCUGCCAGCAAUGAAGAAAUGUUUGAAAAACACAAGGGCCUUCUUAUUGAAGGCAAAACUAUUUCUAUUACUUGCUUUUUAUUAAGAGAGUACCAAGGUGUUUUUAGGGCUACUUCUUUGCCAUUGAAGAUUUAUUUCUGCCGGACAACCAUUGCGUAUGAAAUUUAUGAUUUUCCAGCAAUAGUGCUUGAAAAAUAUUUGACUGAUUUCAAGUGUAUCAAGGACGGCAAGGUGGACAGAAAUCUUCUUUUCGGUAUGUUUUUUUUAUUGGUUCAUUAUAUUAAACGUAUUACGUUUAAUUUUAUUAUUAAUUUCUUGAUGCUGUUAUUGAAGAUGUUAUUGGACAAAUUGUGACGGUGGGGAGUAUUAAAUUUGUUCAAAUUAAAGGCAAAAGAAUCGGCAAAUUGUGGAUUACACUACGUGAUACCAAGUAAGUGUUGAUAUUUUUCUUAUAUUUUUAAAAUAUUUUUAAAAUGCGUAUCCGAUCUGUACUCAAUCCUCAAGCGAUGUUCACCUUAAAUGUACUCUAUAGGGAGAAUAUGCAUUGAUGACCGUUGAGUACAUUAAACAACAUCUGGAAUCUGUCGUGGUCUGUCUGAUGCGCUUUGUCCGUAUUCAAGAGUUCAAACGUGAAUUCUCAAUAUAUUAUAGUCCACAUAGUUGUAUGUAACUGUUAACAAGUUAUGCAAAAUCUUGAAAUUUUCUUAUGUUUUUUUAGGUGUUAUUUCAAUAUCCAACUCUUUCAACUCCACUAAAAUUAUGUUUGAUACUGACAACAAGAUCGUCAAAGACUUCAAAGAUAUGUAUGUUGUCGGUAAUAUAUACACUUAUCUUAUCUUAAAACAGUAUUGUAUUAACCAUAUAUCUUUUUGAAUUAUAGGUUGCCUAAAGACAACCAAGUAGUUGUUCACGCUGAUCAGGGUUAUUCGGAUUUAACCAUUACCGAGUGGGAUCCUAGAUCAGAGGUAAUAUGUCCUCCGUAAUUGUAUGUAGUAAUAUACGUCAUGUUUUACAACAAUUUUGAAGUUCUGCAAAAAUUUAAAUUGUUUUUCAAUUAAUCUUUGAUGCUUUCAGGAUAUUUAUAAUACUUCCUUUGGAUCGUCACAUCAUGCAAACAAUCAGAUGAACAGUAACGGCAUUAGUGAAGACCCCUCCGCGAAAUCCAUGAGUAACAAGCGUCCUAGGAAAUAAUUCCAUUACAACUUUAACAUCCUGGAUGAUCGAACAAUUUAGGGUUUAGGUGUUGUAUUUUUCAGUAAUAUCUUAUUAUCUUUUUAAUGAUGUUUUUGAAUAUUUUGUAUUCCUGCUUCAAAUAAUUAUCCUUUAGAUGUUUUCAUCUACGUGAUGUUCAAAGUUUCAAUUCUUCAAUAUAAUCCCUUUUUAUUGCCAAUACAAACCUAAAUACAAAUGUUGAUUUUGAAUCAACGAAUCAUUUACAACGACUCGCAUAACUGUGUAUAUUAAAUGUAAAUUUAUAAUGUUGGUAAUUAUUUGAGAAAAUAAUGUCAAAUGGAAAUUUAAUCUGGCUCAAUCAUAUUCAUCAAUAAAUUUGAAAAUGGAAAUAUGUGUAUUUUAUAAAGAUACAUACGGCUGUAUCAGAUAUCACAUAUUAUUAGCAUUUAAGUAUCGAUUAUACCAAUAUAGCAAAAUGGGAUAACAAUAAAUGUUUCGAUUUAAUGACUUUAGUAGUGGAAUAUACAUUUAUUCCAAAAUUCUCAGAAUAUUUUAUGAUAGUUCAUAAAAGGAAGGUAGAUCUGUUAUGAAAAAUUAAAUAAAUUUAAACAACCGCAAUUUGAAUGACAAUACGUAAUCUUAGGAAACCAUUUAAUUUAAACCAGAUCUUUCUUUUGAAAAAGAAUUACAUAGAUUUUUAAUCGACUAUUUUAAAAUUUGAAACAGUCAUACACAGGUCAAGUUCAAAAAUGGCUUCUGAGGAUAACUCAUCUAACAAAGAGAACUCACCUCCACUCUUGAAAUGUUAGUUCACAUGUAAUCAUAUGGCUGUUUAUAUAACCGUUAGAUCUCAACUAUUUUAUGUCCAAUCAGGUGGGAGACGUAGGUGUUCAAGUAUUGGACAAUCUUCUAAUGAAACGCAAAGUGACAAUGGAAAAAGUCAAUGCAUCCAACAUGGAGAUGAUUCCCCACCUCUCCGAAAACGUAAGUACUAUUCCUGAUACUCAACCUUUCGUAAGCAUAUUAAGAAAAUCCCUAAUGUUUAGUACUUAAUAAUCUAGAAAAUAAAUAUUCUUAUAACGUAUACUGUUCUGUAGGUGGUCGACCUAAGAUUUCUCAAACCUCACCACCUUUACAAAAGUGUAAUGUGUUAUCAAGCUGAGUAGUUUUCUACAUAUAUAAACAAUAUGUUUUCAUUUCUGUAAAUAUUUUGAACAUAUUAACACCAUAAAUUACCGUAUAUAUUGUCCAGGCGGUAGACGAAGACAAUUCCAAGACUCACCAUCUGCUGAUAACUCAUCUACGAUCACCCACACAAAUGAAUAAAAUACCGAUACAUUAUUCGAUAUAACAAACCAAUCAGGUAGAUUUCGUAAUUGUUUUUUUGUUAAUUUGUAUGUGUGAUCUCAAAUGAAUAUCUAUUUCACAGUGUCUGUUCUCAGUUUUUUUUUUAAAAAAUAACUUAGAUGAUUCUAGAAGUCCUUUAUCUGACGUCACAAAUUAUCAAGGUUUGUUAUUAACUCUAUGUACAUUACAAACAGCUUUCAGCACAAGUUAGUUUAUUUUAUACUUUACUUAUCUUUUUCAUUAACAGUUACGAGAAGACAAACAAGAUCUCAAACAACCACUAAAAAAAAUAAGGGUUCACAAACGUAUGGAUCUGAGCCUGAUGAUUCCAGAAUACGACCACAGAACUCCAGAUCGAAUUUUAUUAAAGAGCAUCCUCAAGGUAUUAGUAUGAUGCUGUCCAAUUUUUAAUAUAUAGGAUUAUACAAUAUCCACUACAUAAAAUUGACCGCUAUUGUUUCUAUCUUAUAGCUUAUCAAAAUAGAUAUGAGGCGCACAGCGAUGACGAAAAUGAUGACUAUGAUGAAAAUAUUAAUCCUAAUUAUGACAAAGGUGAAACUUCAGAAAUUGCAAUGGAAGUUGAUAACGUGGAUGCAGAUGUAAAUAUACAACAGACAACCGUUUCCAAUGUGUUUGGAUCAACCACAAGAUUUCAAUUUGGAGUUCAACCAUAAUAUACGUUUAUACUUUUUUCAUAUAUAACACUAUAAUGUGAAUUAUUUCUUGGCAGAAUAUUAUGAUGAUGGAGAUCUAAAUUUCGAAUGUGAACAUUGUGGAGCUUAUUUUUGGUAUGGAGAGCGGAUAGGAAAAUCCAGGAGACAAUUGAUACCCAUAUUCACGCUUUGCUGUAAGCAGGGGAAAAUUGUCCUCCCUAAACUUAGAAAUCCUCCAAUGGAGUUAAUAGAAAUGUUAUGCAAAGGGGAUGCGUUGAGUAAACAUUUUCGUGAGUUCAUCAGAGCAUACAAUAUGAUGUUCUCUUUCACGUCAUUCGGUGGAAAAAUAGAUUACGCCAUUAACAAUGGUCGUGGUCUGUAUGUCUUCAAAAUGAAUGGGGAGAAUUAUCAUCAAAUUGGUGAUAUGGUGCCAGACAUUGGAGAGAUGCCUAAAUUUUUGCAACUUUACAUCCAUGACACUCUUAAUGAGCUAUACAAUAGAAUAGCUGCUUAUGGGUACGUAUUUGAUUCAUUUCCGAAUACUUUAUGUUUAUCUAAUUAAAGAUAUAAUAUGUGCAUACUUUAUUGAAUAAUAUCUAUUUGUUAUAUUCUUAGGACUAUGGGCGCGGAGACCGAUAAUUUCAAGUAUACUGUCUUGGAAAUAUUGAAGAAGAUGCUUGACAAAGUCAAUCCAUAUGUCAAGGUAUUUAGACAAGCUAGAGAUAGAUAUGAGGCUGAUGGAGGGGUAACAUUCAAAUUGAGGUUGAUAGAAGGAAGAUCUGCUGAUGGAAGAAUUCAUAAUAUUCCUACUUCGGAUGAAGUUGCAGCUUUGAUACCAGGUGACUUUGUUUUGAAUAUGGAAACUAGAGACAUCAUUAUUGAGUCCAGUACAGACGGAGGAUUCCAAAGGAUUAGUGAAUUACAUCCUAUAUAUCUUCCUCUCCAAUAUCCUUUAUUGUUCCCAUAUGGCGAGGACGGUUUCCACCUGAAGAUUCCAAUUGCGUAUGACAAAUCCGAGGCUAGGACACGUAAAUCAGUAACAAUGCGAGAGUUUUUUGCAUUCCGGAUUUGUGAGAGACGUGGUGAGGCUCCUACAAUCAAACGAUCAGGUAGACUUUUUCAACAGUUUCUUGUGGAUGCGUAUACCAUGAUAGAGUCCAGUAGACUACGUUAUCUGUGGUUCAACCAGAAAAAGAUUCGUUGUAAUAACUAUACAACUAUAAAGAACGCAUCUGAAGCGGGUGCCGAAAAUCUUAGUUCAGAAGGUCCAAAAAUUUAUAUGCCGGCGAGUUUUACCAAAGGACCAUGGUAUAUGAAUCAGCACUAUCUGGACGCUAUGGCCAUAUGCAAAUAUUUUGGUUUUCCGGAUUUGUUCAUUACAUUUACGUGCAAUCCAAAAUGGCCCGAGAUUACACGGUAUCUCCAGAAAUAUAACCUGAUAACAGAGGAUAGGCCAGACAUUAUGUGCCGUGUUUUUAAGAUGAAGCUGGAUAAUCUGAUGACUGAUCUAACGAAGAAAAAAGGCGCUAUUUUUGGUCCAACAGCUGCCAGUAUGUUUUAUUGUUAUAAUAAUCCAUUGGUGAAAAUUAUAUGUCAUUUAAUUUAUUCAUCAUAGUCAUACCAUGUUUUAACUUUACUAUAAUGUCUUUCAGCUAUCUACACGAUAGAGUUCCAGAAGAGGGGUUUGCCACACGCCCAUAUUUUGUUAUUUUUGAAAGAUAAGAAUAAAUUACGAACUACCAAUGAUAUUGAUAAGUACAUCAGCGCUGAUAUUCCCGAUAAGAAAACAGAUCCAGACCUUUAUAAUAUUGUUGGUGAAAAUAUGAUGCAUGGACCAUGUGGAGCUGCUAAACCUGACAAUGUUUGCAUGGUGAACGGGAAAUGCUCAAAGAGUUUUCCAAGACCUUUCAAUGAUGAAACUUCGAUGGAUUCAAACGGCUUUUCAUCAUACCGGCGACGCAGGGAUAAUAGGUUUUUCACCAAAAAUGGUAUAAAUCUUGACAAUGGAUAUGUUGUUCCAUACAAUAGGGAUCUUAUGCUACGUUAUCGUGCACAUAUAAAUAUUGAGUGGUGCACUCAAACGCGUGCUGUGAAAUAUCUUUUCAAAUAUUCAUAAGGGUCCUGACUAUGUCUCUGCGGCUUUAGACAAAGAUGAGGAUGGAGUUGUGGAUGAAAUUAAGAAUUAUUAUAACUGCAGGUAUAUUUGUAAUAAUCCUAUAUAUUACAUGGCCUAUAUGAUUAUAAUAUUUUAGAGACGUUUAAUUUUUUUCCCUAAAAUGUAGAUAUGUCUCGGCUUGCGAAGCAACAUGGAGAAUUUUAGGUUUUCCAACUCAUUAUAGGAGUGUUUCGGUGGAAAAACUUUCCUUCCAUCUCCCGAACCGUGAAGUUUAUGUCCAUGAUGAAGACGAAACUCUUGAGUCUAUUUUGAAACGGGUUGGUGUUAGUGUUUCAAUGUUUCUAGGUUGGUUUGAAGCAUGUAAAAAAUAUCCAGAUGCGUGUAAGCUAACUUAUGCAGAGCUACCAACAUAAGUUGUUUGGCAUCUAAAGGAUAGAGAGUGGAAGCCUCGAAAACGAAGCUUUGCUAUUGGAAGGAUUGCUCAUAUCCAUCCAAACGGUGACGAGACGUACUAUCUGAGGAUGUUAAUUAAUAUAGUCAGAGGUCCAAAAUGUUAUGAUGAUAUUAAAACAGUUGAUGGCGUUGUCUUUAAUACUUUCAAAGAAGCAUGUGAUGUGUUAGGAUUGUUGGAUGAUGACAAAUAAUAUAACGAAGGCAUCAAAGAAGCUAGCAUCUGGGCUUCAGGAUGGUAUCUCAGGCUUUUUUCAGUAUAAUAUUGCUAUGUGAUUGUUUAACACAACCUUGUGUAGUCUGGGAAGCAAAUUUGGAGUAUUUGACUGAUGAUAUACUUUACUGACGUCGUCUUGAAAGCGGCUAUGAAGGUAUUAAACAGUUGUAAUUAUUUAAUACAUGAAGCUUGCUCUACAAGAUAAAAUUUCCAACUUGGUCAUCAUUCUUAAAUAUAUCUUUGUGUGUUGUUAUUGUUUCAGGUUUGAAUCUAUCGACCGAGCAGAUUAAAAAUAUAGCAUUGCAAGAGAUUCGGGAUUUCUUAGAAAGCAGAGGACGUUCACUUAAGAAAUAGAACUGUAUGCCAAAACCAGAUAAUUUCAUGGAGUACAACGGCAACCGAUUGAUUGAUGAUGAACUCAAGUACAAUGCUGAGGAUCAAAGAAAAGAGAAUGAGAGACUUCCGGCUAUGAUAACAGAUGAGCAGAAAGGUGUUUAUGAAGAGAUUUUGGAUGCUGUUUUGAACAACAAAGGUGGUGUUUCUUUGUAUAUGGUUUUGGAGGUACUGGUAAAACAUUUCUUUGGAGUUGCCUUUCAACCGCUAUUCGAUCUAGAGGUAAGAUAGUUAUCAACACUGCAUCGAGUGGGAUUGCUGCUCUGUUGUUAGAAGGUGGUAGAACAGCACAUUCGAGGUUCGGAAUCCCAAUAAAUCCAGAUGAUUUUACACAAUGCAAUAUGCCUCCUGGAUCAGAUCUUGCCAAUUUGAUGAAAAGGGCUGACCUUAUUGUAUGAGAUGAGGCUCCGAUGAUGAGCAAGUAUUGUUUCGAAAACUUAGAUAGAAGUUUAAAUGAUAUCAUCAGAUUACCUGUGAGAAAACUAUUUGGUGGGAAGGUGGUUGUUUUUAGAGGUGACUUCCGUCAGAUACUUUCGGUAAUUCCUCAUGCUGGCCGAUCAGAAACAGUUAUGGCAACAAUCAAUUCUUCAUCACUAUGGGAUGAUUGUAAAGUUUUACAACUUACAAAGAAUAUGAGGUUGCUUGGUGGACUAAGUGAUGUCGCUGCCGCUGAACUUAAGGCAUUCUCUGAAUGGAUAUUAGCUGUUGGUGAUGAUAAAGUCAAUACUCCAAAUGAUGGCGUUGUGGAUAUUGACAUUCCAGAAGAUUUAUUGAUCAAAGAUUGUGGCGAUCCAAUGAAAACUAUAGUUAAAGAAGUGUAUGGAAACUUAAUAAGUAGUCAACAUACUGAAGACUUUUAUCAACAUCGUGCUAUUUUGAGUCCCACAAACGAAGAUGUUGAUCAAAUUAUAUCAUGACGUCUGGCACCAUAUCACCAUUUUUCAUAACUACUUGAAAAUGCGUAUGUAUGAGACAAAGUGAUAAAAACAACAACUCUGAUUUCUCUCUUCAUUUCGGAAAUCCUACAUCAACUCCGAUUUUAUUUCAUCUUAAACUCUACUAUAUCUGUUUUAAUUCCCAUAUAUUUGGGGAUAAUGUUGAACCUUUUUAUUUUUUUGCUGAAUCUUAAGAGAUUUGGUCGGUUUAUGGUUUUUAUCUUAUUUUUAUGAACCUUGCUUAUAAUUAUGCUUUUUGAACUUCUCAUAAUAUUUUUUAACAUACGCUAAUUAUUUGCUAUUAAUGGUGUUAUAUCAAUUUCUAAAGUUUGUGUAAACAUGUACUUUUAAUUUAGGUUCUUAAAUUUUGGUUUACAAAGAUAAUAAUAGUAUAAAUUAUAAUGAGUGUUAAAUGGAAGAUUACAAUGUCUUCCAUUUAACAAACCUAUUGUUACCAUAAACAGAAAUGCAAUUAUAAAAGUUGAUAUAUUGUAUAUAUUAUGUCCUCACUUAAUUUACCAAACCCGAUAUUUGAUGAUAUAAUGACCCAAUAUACGUUUUAUUUAGAAUUCAUGGUUGGAAAUAUUUGGAACCCUAAAUUAUAUACCUCUUGAUAAGUUUCCAAUAUAUAUACAAACACUAACAACUUAUUUAGUCUUCACAUCUUUUCGGAAAAUGGAACCACUUGAUUACAUUGAAGACUUGAACAACAGGUCAACUGAAUGGUGCAUCCGGGUGAAACUCGUGAGAAAGUGGUUUGAAUAUAUACCACAUCAGGGCGUAUCAUUAAAAUUGUUUCUUGCUGAUGCGAAUGUAAAAUUUAUCUUUUAUGGUAUCACUAAUAAACUAUAUUAAUUCACAUAUAUUCUUUUCUCUACCAAAAUAUUCAAAUUCUUUCAUUUCUAAAGGACCAUACAAUACGCGCUCGGGUUAGACGACAAUUUCAUGAUUUAUUUGAACCUCUGCUAACAGAAGGUUCAUGGUUUGAUAUUGAAGAUUUUGUUGUCAAAAGGUUAUGCAGAAACGAAAGCAGAGAUUCAAACAUUUUUUUAUCCAAUUUAUAAUAUCCACCUCCGUCAAGAAAAUUCCAUCUGUUCAAGGUUUGUUGUUUGUAUUAUUUAUAUUGGUUAUAGAGAACUACAUAUUUGGUAUUAAAUUUUAUUCUACAUUUUUUUUUUGCAGUUAUCAGAACAGCAAUUAAUGGAUUACGAUGCUCCUACGAAUAAUUCAUGUUACUAUACAUAAUAAUUUCUGUGUUUUUAAUGUAUUUGCGUCUUUGAUUUUUCCUUUAUAAACCAAUAAUAAAUUUCUUUUUAAUGUCAUUUAUCGAUUCUCAGUUAAUUGACUUAAUGAUUACAAGAACUAUGACAUGUUCUUUAUACCGAAUUAUCACAAUUUCUCAAACAAGAUACAUCGUCACAAUUAUGGGUUCUUUAGGUUCUAUAUGUGAUCUUCAUAAUUUUUUCACUAAUCAUAAAACAGAAAUAGGAUAUAUAUAACACUGAGCAUAAAAUAUAGGUACAUCAUAACACACACUAUAAACUAUCAAUAUUGUACAAUUCGACCAAAUACAAUUAACACUAUAUCCAAUAACAUUACUAAUUUAUAAAACUGGCCCGCACGCUUCUAGCAAUUAACACUAUCUGCGAGUUUUGAAAAGAACUUUACAUAAUCGCUGCGAUGAGAAAUAAUAAAACUAACAAUCCUACAAAAUUAGAAAAUCGUUAUAGUUCAAAUUAAGAAUUCCAAAUUAAAAUGUUUGUAUUUCUUACACAUAUUCAUUCUCAUUCGAGGUAAAUAACAAUUUGCCACAUAUUUAGAGUCUUUCCCAAAAAUUCCAGUGAAUAAUAAAAAAUAAAAAUAAAAAGCAAAAACUUAUGGAAAACGAUAUACAUUUCGAAAUGAAUUUACUAAAUGAAUUUACAUUUCGAAAUAAAUGAAUACCAAAGUUUUUCUGAUUUAUCACCAUUUACAAAUGAAUUUACAUUUCGAAAUAAAUGAAUACAUCUUCGCAUAUAAUUUAUAAAAUAUGUUCAUAUGUCACAUUUCGAUGAAUAACUUACGAUCUACAAACUUAAAAUUAAUGUAUUUAUUCAUAAUUUCAUGUAUUCUUCAUCUACACUUUCUUCAUUAUAUAUACCUAAUUAUAAUUACUUAAUCAGUUAUAUAUCACUUAUUGUUUAUAUUUACGUCAAAAAAAGUAUAGCCAAUUGUAAGACACAAUUCAAUUCUUGAACUAAUAACAUACCAUUCGGCCCAAAUGUGGUAACACUGUACCCACACACACUGUCAAUUAUCAAUUUUAUAAAAUUCGACCCAAUAAACUUAACAAUAUACCCAAUACAAUUAAAAUUUAUAAAAACAUUCAAGUCCGCAUAUGCGUGCGGGCCAGUAUCCUAGUACUAAUAUUAUCUGAGUUUGUUUUUACCGUAAGAAAUUUAAGAAUUUUAAAAAUUUCUUUAUCUCCUUUCUUUUUGGUUUUCUCAUGAGUAAUUGUUUUUAGUGAAUUGACUAUUUUUCACCGUUUUUUUAUUAUGUUUUUUACUCUUUUUGGGCAUUUUGGAACUAUAUAGUUUCUCAAGUUUGUCAAUGUUCUUUUAGAGAAAUAAUAGGAGAGUGGAAGGACGACAAAAGAAAAAAGAAUAUGAGACUGGAAAAUUUGGUACAUUUUUCCACGAGAACAAAUAUUCCACGAAAUCUGAUUUGUUUGUCGUUAUUGUCAUUAAUAAUUAGGAAAACAAAAAAAAAACAAAAGACCAAUAUCAAAGCUCAAGUCUUUCUCGGAACGCUUCGAAUUCCUUCUCAACCACGGUAACCGCCACUUGCUCUCCGAGAAAGAAUCAGAAAACCCUAAUGGCGACGAUUGAAGACGACGAAGUCGCUGUGAUACUCGAAGAACAGCGUGAAGAGAUCAUGGCUGCUAAAGCCCUAGCCAGCGACCACGAUCUGGCUUUCAAUCUCCAAAUGCAGGAAGCCCUAGCCGCUUCUCGAGCACCGCACACUUCCUCACCGGAAUCUCCUCCCGCCGCCGCGGAUGUCACCACUUUCACCGGCGGAGACGCUAACGCCGACGAAUUCGACUUCACUGAUCUCAUCCUACAGGACAUUGCUCGAGUCGACCAGGAGAGGCGAGACCGCGAGUUUGGCGAGCAGGAGAUGAAUAGGCUUAAAGUCGAUCUAGACCGUCGGAUUCACGAUCAGAAGUUCGCUAAAGAGAUUAUGAGCAUCCCGGACUCAGAUUGGAGCAGAGACGGUGACUAUUUCCAAAAACCUUACUCACUCGGAGCUUCUUCUUCCUCCGUCGUCAAAGUCGCUCCUUUCUCGUUCUCGGCGAUUGGGGCUGAGAGCUUCCGGGUUUAUUGCAAGGGUUUAGCGAGUGAAGAGAUGAUUGGAGACACGAGGGCCAUGGUCGGUGGUGUUGGUGUUGCGAUUUGUGACUCGGCGAAUAAUCUGAUUUGGGAGGUGAAGAAGGUUUUGGGAGCAGAAGAGUCUAAAAGCUCAGAAAUUGCGGAACUGGAAGCGAUUGUUCAUGGGUUAGAUGAAGCUUUGACCUUUGAUUUGGGAAGGGUCACGUUCUUCAUUGACGAUUUCAAAGUCUACAAUUACGUGAGUUAUCUCUAACCUGAAACCUCAAAAUUUGGAUUUCAUUGACUAAGGUUUCGAAUUUGUGAAUGUUUGUGACUUUGUGAGGAUACCAAAGUCUUGAUCUUAAUUUUUUGUUUACUCCAAGUUUGCGCUUUACGGUAUUGUUUUUGUUUGUUUGUUGUAUUUAACACUUGGGACUUAUUUUCGUUACUACAAUGUUAAUGACUAUGGCUCUUAAUUCUUAUACCUAAACAUUUGGUGUAUAUACGAUACAUAAUCAUUUGCAAAUCAUCUAACUUGAAUCUGGAUUAUGGUUAUCUAAUCAUCAAUAAUGGGUUGGAUGAGGCUUUGACCUUUGAUUUGGGAAGGGCCACGUUUUUCAUUGACAAAGAUUUUGAUUUUGUGAAUGAUUGUGACUUGUGAGAAUAUCAUUUCUUGAUCUUGAAAAGUUUGUACUCCUUUUAGUUGCUAAUUUGGCGUUUUACAGUAUUGUUCGUUUCUGUUCUGUGUGUUUGUAGUUAUUUGCAAAUCAUCUAACUUGAAUCUGGAUUAUGGUAUCUACUGGAUUACUUACAAGCUGCAGUUUAUUCUUGGUUCCUUUACUGUUUUGAAAUUUUUUAACCUUUGAUAUUGCUGGUCAUGUUUUGCUCUGUAAUCUAGGUGACAGGUAGAGUAGAACCUAGGCAGAGCGUUGUUGCAACGCUUGUAAACCAAGUGUCUCUUCUCCAGAAAAAGUUCUCAUACUGCCAACCAUUUCUUUUGACAAGAAAAGAUGUUAAGUUUGUGUUCAAGCUCGCAAGAGACGCGAUCGUGUCCCAAAUCAAAUGGCCUGAGGAAACCAGCGACGGCAAAUCUUUCAAGGAGACUUGUGUGAUAUGCUACGAAGGCAUCACAGUCGACAAAAUGUUCUCGGUAGACGGUUGUUUCCACCGUUUCUGCUUCUCCUGCAUGAAGCAGCAUGUUGAAGUGAAACUACUCGGAGGUCAAACAGCUAGUUGUCCCAGCGACGGGUGCAAAUCAGAAGUGAAAAUGGAGUGCUGUGCAAAGUUUCUGGAUCCUAAACUGCUUGAAGUUAUGAUCCAACGCAAGAAAGAAGGAUCGAUUAGCGUUUCGGAUAAAGUCUACUGUCCAUAUCCAAAGUGUUCGGAACUGAUGGCCAAAGCCGAAGUUUUGGAAUAUACCAAACAGUAUUUUGUUAGAGCUGAGCAAUCUGGUGCGAGGAAAUGCAUGAAAUGUAGGCAGUUUUUCUGUAUGCAGUGCAAGGUACCGUGGCACUACAACAUCACCUGCGAUGAGUUCAGUAGAUCAAAGACCUAUCAGAACGCCGGGGAUGGAAUGCUCAAGUCUCUGGCACAAAGCAAGCGGUGGAGGGCAUGCGUAAAGUGUAACAAUAUGGUUGAGCUUGUUUGGGGAUGCUACCAUAUAACAUGCAGGUACGUUGCUUUUAAAAAAGAGAAUUGUACAUAAAACUAUUUUGAAAUUCCAAUCCAUGGAUAAAGAAAGGAGAGACCUUUUUGGUUUUUUUGGCUCGCAGAUGCGGAUACGAGUUUUGUUACACGUGUGGAGCUGAAUGGAAGAACAAGAAAGCAACGUGUUCGUGCCCGAUAUGGGACGAGCGCAACAUAAUCCGUGAGAGAAAUGUGAAUCCUAGGAGGUGAUUGCUUAUGUGUUUUGUGAAAGUUUAGGUAAAGCUUGAUAGGGUAAGUGACGGUAACAGCGCUAGAAUAAAAAAAAGUCUAGUUAUGGUUUUGUUUUUGCGGGUUUUUGUGGGUUUUAGGAACUGAUCCAAACGUUGGUGUUUUUUAGUUUGGAUCUUCUAUUUAGCUUUGGAAAAAAAGUUGACACUUUAAACUCAAAUGUUCAAGAUCCGAGGUUAUAGUGAAACUUGUGAUCUCCGGGAAGAAGUUUGAAAUGGUCUUGUUUGUUUGGAAUCAAUUAACGGUGUAUUUAAAUGGGCAACUUAACCUUAAAACACAAGAGAAUAUAAAGCAGUUAAAAACAACACUUUAUAUCUUGUUGAGCUUGGAGAAAGUUGUAAACUUUGAGAAGUAAGUUCUUUGAGUCCCACUACCAAAUCCUAGAGCUUGAUGAGGAUUCCGCAGCUCUGUUCCCUUCACAGGAGUGAAAGCCAGACUCGAUGUCAUGAAACCAGAGUAGGUAGUAGUACCACCUGAAUACUGUCUUUCUCUGACCUUUUUGGCGACCUUAGCCUUGAGAUUGCUCGGGACACUGGACAUUCGCAGCCUCUUGCUCUGAGCCUGGCCAAGCAUUCCAUAUCCUUGACCUUAUCCAUCACCUAGUGAGCUCUCUUCGGGUGUUUCACCAAAUGCCACCCUGUUGGCCUGCUUUCUCAUCUCUGUCACUGCAUACCUUUCUUUCGUUUUUCUUAGGCGGCGACCACCUCUUCUUUUCUUAGGAUUAGUAUUUGGAACAGGAAGUUGCUUAGGUUGCCUUGCAAGACAAGGUUCUUGCAACUUGUCAAUCUUGUUUCUGAUCUCUUCCCUGAAAGCUUUUCCAUUUUUCCCUGACGGGUCUCCUUUAACAGCGUCGAUUCUCGCUGCCAAAGUCGAUUUGCAAGCUAAGAGCUUGCUAACGCGUAACCUAAGCUCGGGAGGCGUGCUUUGGAAAAUCUCAGUCUGCUCCAGAUAACCCACACGGGAGGACUGUGUCGCUGCACUAGAGAACCCAUCAAGGCUCUUCCUCUUCUUGCCAAGAAGUCGAACGUGACAGGCAGGCAUGUUAGCAAGCUCCGAUAAACCUCCAGCAGUCCCCAUGAGCUUGGCUGCAACAGCACACCCGACAAUGGCGGAAAGAUUUGGUGCGAUACAUACCAUCUUGGUUUCAGUAAACUCAAGGAUCUUCUUCUUGGCGGAAUCAAGAUCAAUAGCUCGAUCACAUGCGUCCAUAGUCUUUUGAAGGACAUCCUCUGGCAGAGGUUUUCCUUUUGUGGUUGAAGCAGCAAGUUUAACAGUCAUAAUAGUAUGUUGUUUGAGAAGAUCCUUCAGAUCAACUAGGGUUAAAUCCGUCUCAUUCCCGAUUUGUUUCACAACACGUGCAUAAUCAAUUGCUUGAGGUACAAGCGACUCAAGCUCUUGGAACUUGAGUCUAUACUUGUAACGUAUAAAGUUGUGGACGAUGGUGAUUUCAUCCUCGAUAUCAACUAAGAGCUGGUUGCAAUCCAUGAUUAGUUUGUAUGGCACAGUUUCAUUCUCGAGAGCUUCUUCAACUUUCUGCAUUAUAUCAGCAUAUCUCUGAGUUUUAUGUAGGUUAGAAACGCUAUCGAGGUCAUGAUCAGAGUUUAGGGUUUCCUCUUUUCCAACAUUCUCGUCAAAAUCUGGUGCUUCAUUGUCAGAUAACUCAUCAAGCUCUGAGAGGAAAGAAUCUCCAAGAGUUGUUGCCAUAUCUUCAAACGAAUCUUUAACGAGAAGCAGGUUCUGUUGGUCGUCACUCGUAAGAAGACAGAGAGACUUUGUGGGAAAUCAAUUGAGUUCUCUUAUCUUCGCUUCUCUUUAUAUAUAGAGAGACAACUCCUUAUACGUUAUAUUAGGUUUUGUUUCCUUUUACAAGAUCAGUUUUGUUCAACGAAUCUUAGCAAAAAAAAAAAAAAAAAAGGUUUUGUUCAUCGAAAAGAAGAAGAAGGGAAAAGGAAAUUCCUUUUGUUUUCAUUGAUGAGUAAAAAAUAUAAAUCAAUGAAAGUAACCGAUGCAAAAAGAGGCCCACAGGCCCACAAGUUACAGCCACAGGCCCACAGAUCGAUCAAACGGCGUCCUUUUACUCCGAGAGCGAGUCGUAUGUAGUAGAGAAUAGUCAUAGAGAUUAACGCGGCUCAAAACCCAGCUUGUGCCUCUGAUUUCGAUUUCAAAUUUGCGAAUCGGAGCAACCCUAUCGGCUUCUCGAGCAUUUCCACCUCCGUCUUGAAUUCUCCCGGCCGAGAUGAUGUCGCAGUCAGGCGAUGUGUUCGAGCUACACUGUGCUUGUUUCUCCUCCGCUCGAUCUCAGUGCUGGUUCAUGUUUGGCGUUAGAAUGUUGAACUUGCCUUUAAAUUCAGCUUUGGUAUGUAUUAAUUUUAUAUAAUUUUUGGUACAUUUCCUUGAUCCUUUGUCACUAGAGGAUUAAUAACUAAUUAACUGCUUUCCUGGACUUUGAAUUGUUUCUGUUGGAAAGUAUUUAUUUAGACCAUAAAAUAAUCAUAUACUGGAGCUUGGUCUUGAUGAUUGUGGGGUAGUGGAGAAUAUUCUUAAUGAUAGAGAAGUCUAAGUUUUUUUUUUUUUAUCAAAGCCAUCUAUACAGUUCAAUAUCUUACUUGUGAUGAAUUAGAAUAUGCAAAUGCGUGGUUAUAAUAUCAUUUACAUUUUCUAAGUCAACUCUGAAAUGCUCAGACAUAAAUUGUUUGCAUUGUUCUGGAAAAUUUCAAUAUAUUGAAUAAGAUAGGACUUCAUUUUAUAUACUUGGAAGUUCUGACUUUGACCGUGUUUCAGCUGCUGAAAUUAUUAUCCACCAUUGUUGCAGAACACACAAGAUCCGACCAGGAUAGUUAGAUUCUCUGUUUUGGUCACAAAUGGCUCAAGGAUUGCAUCUGAUCUGGAUUAUCUUCUGUGUUCAUCUGAUUUGCAUCUCAAGUCAACAGGAGACAGAGUUUAUCUACAAUGGCUUUCGUCAAGAAGACCUUUCUACUGACGGGGUUGCAAGAAUCCUUCCCAAAGGACAGUUGCAGUUGACCGAUGGUUCAGGACAGAAAAUGGGUCAUGCUUUCUUCAAGAAGCCUCUUGAGUUCACUUCACCUGAAUCACUCUCUUUCUCAACACAGUUCGUGUGUGCGCUGGUGCGUAAGCCAAGGUUUGACGGUGGUCAUGGUAUUGCCUUUGUUCUAUCUGCCUCCAUGGAUCUCACGCACGCAGAGGCGACGCAGUUCUUGGGACUUUUCAACAUCUCGACUCAAGGAUCAUCCUCUUCUCAUCUCGUUGCUGUGGAACUAGAUACUGCACACAGCGCUGAGUUUGAUGACAUCGAUGCCAAUCAUGUUGGAAUCGAUGUCAAUGGCCUUACGUCUAUCGUAUCUGCUCCGGCUGCUUACUUUUCUGAUAUAGAAGGUAAGAACGAAAACAUAACGCUUUUGAGUGGAGAUCCUAUUCAAGUCUGGGUGGAGUACGGAGGAAAUUUACUUAAUGUAUCGCUGGCACCUCAUAAAACUCAGAAACCAAGCCAGCCUCUUUUGUCAAGAUCUAUUAACCUUUCAGAGUCUUUUCCAGAUAGAAAGAUAUUUCUUGGAUUCUCUGGAGCAACAGGGACAUUGAUCAGCUACCAAUACAUACUAGGGUGGAGUUUUAGUAGGAAGAAGGCGUCAAUGCAGGCCCUGGAUGUCACUAAACUUCCCCGAGUUCCUUCUCACAGAGCUAAUAGUAAGAGACCACCGCCGUUGCUUAUUGUUCUGCUCAUAUUACUGGGAGUCAUUGUGUUUUUGGCUCUUGGAGCAGCUUAUUUGUACAGGAGAUGGAAAUAUGCAGAAGUAAGAGAGGAAUGGGAAAAAGAAUAUGGUCCACACCGUUUUUCCUAUAAAGCUCUUUACAAUGCAACUAAUGGGUUUCACAAGGAUGGACUUCUUGGGAAAGGAGGUUUUGGAGAAGUGUACAAAGGAACUCUGCCUUCCAAUGAACAAGUAGCAGUGAAAAGAGUGUCCCACGACGCAGAGGAAGGGAUGAAGCAGUUUGUGGCCGAAAUCGUGAGCAUGGGUAAUCUGAAGCACAAGAACAUGGUUCCACUUCUUGGGUACUGUAGAAGAAAAGGUGAGUUACUUCUGGUAUCUGAAUACAUGCCCAAUGGUAGUCUUGACCAAUACUUAUUCCAUGAAGAGAAACCGCCCUUUUCAUGGCGUCGAAGACUUAUAAUCAUCAAGGAUAUAGCUUCAGCUCUCAGUUAUAUGCAUACAGGAGCUCCCCAAGUUGUUCUCCACCGGGAUAUCAAGGCUUCUAAUGUUAUGUUAGACGCUGAAUUUAAUGGAAGGUUAGGGGACUUUGGUAUGGCAAGGUUCCAUGAUCAUGGGGCAAACCCUGCUACAACUGCUGCUGUAGGAACCAUUGGCUACAUGGCACCGGAGCUUGCUACAAUGGGAGCUUGCACUGCAACCGAUGUUUAUGGCUUUGGUGCCUUUUUACUUGAAGUAACAUGUGGGAGGAGACCCGUUGAACCUGAGUUGCCAGCUGAAAGACGGUAUUUAAUUCAGUGGGUUUGCCAAUGUUGGAAAAUGGCUUCUUUGCUCGGAGCUAGGGAUCCGAGAAUGAGAGGUGAAAUCUCAGCUGAGGAAGUCGAAAUGGUAUUGAAACUUGGGUUGCUUUGCACAAAUGCUGUGACAGAACUGAGACCUUCCAUGGAAGAAGUCGUGGAAUACUUAAACGAAAGCCUAAAGCUGCCUGAUAUCUCUCCAAAUUCUCCUGGUAUAGGGACUUUUACCCCGCUGAUGAUCGGAUCAAACUCCCUCCUUGCCUCCCCCACUACAAAGACCGUGUCAGCAUCAUUUUACUCUUCUUCCUCAGCCAACGACUCUACAUUUGUUACUCACUCGAUUGUCCAUGGGCACGGACGGUAAAACUUUGAGAACUAUGCUCCUCUAAUCUUAGAUUCUUUUGUUGGGAAUGGUAAAGCCAUUCUAGGCUUGUAUGAAGUGACUCUAGUUACCAUUGUGAUCCACUUGUGAAGUAUAUCUUGAUAUUUCACAAAGAUAUCCAGCACGUGAAUGUUGUGUUUGGAGUCUUUUGUAAAAAUGCUUUAGUUGAAUUUGACAAAAGUUUUUGUUUUUAACCAUUCUAUCUUCAUUUCUCUUUCUAGUUAGUUUGAUUUUCCAGUGAACAAGGUUCUUGUACAGAUGUUUACAAGUUGUUCUUCAUUCUGUCUGUUUAUUUGAUCUCAUUCUGUGACUUCUCUAUUCGAUAAAAACCUUUUGUACGACAAGCCCCAGAUUCGCAGAAACAGUUGUUCCGGUUCGUAGCGUUAACGAUGCAAUGACUUGUCUGGGGAGGGUCGUUUUCAGUGUGAUAGUUUCAUGUGAGUUUCUCCAACUUCUUCAGGUGACUCUCCUUUCAAGUGAGUAUAUAUCCCAUCUUGUCCUGAUCUUUGUUUCAUGUAAAAGUUCUUGAAUUCAAGUUAUGUUGCUAAUAUUAUUGUUAUGAAACUUUGUGGUUGUUACAUGCUCGUUUUUUGAUGGAUUUUCUAACUAAUCACAUUAAUUUCUCAUCUGUUCUCUUAUUUUCCACUUGUUUUCUUCAAUAGAUGAACUGAGUUCAGUUUGUGGAGCUGAGUGGGAUCACAAGAGAGCAUCAUCAAGUUCUCGACAGGUAAAGUUAAGAGGCUUCUUCUUGAAAGUUUGAAACUGUUGAAGCCUGCAUAUAUGUUAUUAUAUCUGUAACAGAUUCAGCUGUUGUCUGUGGUAUUAGAGAGAUGAUUUAUAAAACUGUAGAAAAACUUAUUUCAAAUAUAUAAAUAUUGAAUUGAACCUUCAAAGACUACAGUUUUCAAAAGUAGGAAUCGUUUAAAGAAAGUGUAGUUUUUAGGAUGUUAGGUUGUUGAAUUUGAAGUAAGCCGCGUCAAGAGCCAAAAGAAAACAAAAUUUGGGAGUUGUACAGAGUUGAAUUUUAAUAGGAGAGGACUUAAACGUUAAGACUUUAUUUUCUCUGUUUUGACUUGCCUAAGCUUGUAUCUAUGCACCUACUUAACUGUUCUAUAAAAAGGUGGGUGCUUGGCUUUGAUUCCUUUUACUUUUGAGCACUUUUUCUUUACUUAGCAUUUAAAAUUCAUUAUGAUUAAUUCAAUGAAAUUUUUUGUGGGUACCGCGUUUAGCAGUUGCCUUUGUUUCUGACUGAUGUUGGGAUCUAAUGUAUUAAAAUAAUGCCUGAAUUAGAAUAUUUGCCAACGUGAAUUUAUAUAGAUUUACAACCUGUUGCAGUCCAGUUUAUAAAGCCAAUAAAAAUAAAGCAAAUGCAUGUGAUGCAGACUUCAUAUCCAAUUAAAAAUUACCAUUAACAUAAGUUUAUAUCCUCUUUUCUGCAGCCAGCAAAGUUCGAUCAGAGAGGAAAAAGAUCUGCACAGAGAACGAGAACUCUUGUAUUCAUCAGCAGCAUUGGCUCGUGGAUCUCUCUCAUCUGGUAUAUUUCAAACUAUAUUUUUUCUUGCUAAGCAUCAUAAGAAAUUAUUUAAGUAGCUGAAAUAUGAGGAAAAUCCGGUGAAAGAUUGUGGGUACUGAAUCCAAGACACAUGUAAAUGAGUAGUUUAAUAAAUUUUUACAGUUUGUUAGUACGGUUCUAGCACUUUCCUUUGUUUCUUUGGACCCAGUUUUGGAUUAUUUCUGUUAAACUAAUAUCUGAAUUUGAGCAUUUGAAAACCAUGUUAAGAAGUUAUGUUGAUUUGUAUAAUAUUACCAAGCUGUCACAGUAAUGAGUGCAGAUGAUGCUAGUACACUGUAGUUCUUAUAAUCAUAUUUACUUCAUAUUUCUCUGCACAGAGCUCUCUGUUUCCAUCAGCAGCAAUGUCUAGUGGAUUGCUUCUGUUCUUUUUGAUCACUUCUUCUCAUCUUGUCUCUUUGUCAACUUCAUCAAUGGACACCAGCUUUGUCUUCAACGGCUUUGGCCAAGCGAAUCUUUCUCUUGAUGGGUCUGCUACAUGGCUUACCAAUGGAUUGUUGCAGCUCGCCAAAGAUUCGCAGCAUCAGAUGGGUCAUGCUUUCAUCAAGAAGCCAAUUGGUUUCAGCUCCUCUAAACCACUCUCGUUCUCAACGCAUUUCGUGUGUGCUCUUGUGCCUAAGCCAGGAUUCGAAGGCGGCCACGGCAUUACCUUUGUGAUAUCUCCUUAUGUGGAUUUCUCCCGGGCGCAACCAACUCGAUACUUGGGGAUUUUCAACGCCUCAACGAAUGGAUCUGCCUCUUCUCAACUGUUUGCUGUUGAGCUCGACACUGUCAAGAACUCAGAUUUCCGUGAGAAGAACAAUAACCACGUCGGAAUCGAUGUGAACAAUCCCAUUUCAGAAGAAUCAGCACCUGCUUCUUACUUUUCCAAAACAGAGAAGAAGAAUGUGAGUAUUAGUCUCUCAAGUGGUGAUCCUAUACAGGUCUGGAUUGAUUAUGAAGGAACUUUACUCAAUGUUUCUUUGGCUCCUCUUGAAGCAGAGAAGCCAAGUUUGCCUCUUUUGUCACGACCCAUCAAUCUCUCAGAAGUGUUUCCGAGUAGAAGAUUGUUCGUUGGGUUCUCUGCAGCAACAGGGACAGCAAUCAGCUACCAUUAUCUUCUUGGAUGGAGUUUCAGCACAAACAGGGAGUUCUUGCAGCUACUUGACAUCUCAAAACUUCCACGAGUUCCUCGUCCUAGAGUUGAGCAUAAGAAACCAUACGCUCUAAUCAUCGCUCCGGUCGCUGCUCUUGCUAUCAUAGUAAUAGCUGUUCUUUCAGGAGUUUAUUACCACAGGAAGAAGAAGUAUGCAGAAGUAAACGAACCAUGGGAAAAGGAGUUUGGUACACACCGCUUCUCGUACAAAUCCUUAUACAUAGCAACAAAAGGGUUCCACAAGGAUGGGUUUCUGGGAAGAGGAGGUUUUGGUGUAGUGUAUAGAGGAGAUCUCCCUGAGUGCAAACCUAUUGCUGUGAAGAGGGUGUCUCAUGAUGGUGAACAAGGGAUGAAGCAAUUCGUGGCUGAAGUCGUGAGCAUGAGAAGUCUGAAACACAGGAAUCUUGUCCCACUUCUUGGGUAUUGCAGGAGAAAAGGCGAGCUUUUACUCGUCUCCGAGUACAUGCCCAACGGUAGUCUUGACCAGCACUUGUUUGAUGACCAAACUCCGGUUCUUUCUUGGUCCCAAAGACUUGUGAUUCUAAAAGGUAUAGCCUCGGCUCUCUUUUAUCUCCAUACGGGAGCUGAACAAGUUGUUGUACACCGAGACAUCAAAGCUUCUAACGUUAUGUUAGACGCUGAGUUAAACGGUAGGUUAGGAGAUUUUGGUAUGGCUAGGUUUCAUGACCAUGGAGGCAAUGCAGCCACAACAGCCGCGGUUGGAACUGUUGGGUACAUGGCACCUGAGCUAAUAACUAUGGGAGCUUCCACUGUAACAGAUGUCUAUGCCUUUGGUGUUUUCAUGCUUGAAGUAGCUUGUGGUAGGAAACCAGUGGAACCAGGGCUGGAAGUUGAGAAACGGUAUGUGAUCAAAUGGGUUUGUGAAUGUUGGAAGAAAGAUUCUUUGCUUGAUGCUAAAGAUCCAAGACUUGUUGGAGAGUUCUUACCCGAGGAGGAAGUCGAGUUGGUUAUGAAACUCGGGUUGUUAUGUACAAACAUCGUGCCUGAAUCAAGACCAACAAUGGAACAAGUGGUUCUUUACUUAAACGGGAACUUACCGUUGCCUGAUUUCUCGCCUUAUACACUUGGGAUCGGCUCGUUUACUCCUGUAGUGGUCGAUGCAGCUUCCCUUACAGUCUCGUGCACUUCGAGGAACUGGUCAGCUCCUUCGGUGUCUUCUUCAUCAGCCAACAACUCAAAGGACCAUGAACAGCCAUUGGAAUCUAAGAGCUCUCUAAACGUAGUUGACGAAUCUGAAGACAUUGAGUCUCGUCUCCCUAGGCCAAACAGUGGCAGGUGAUCAAGUUUUGAGUAUCAAGACAGUGAUCUCAUUUGAAGCAGUGUAUUCUCUAGAACAAUCAUAUCUAACUUCUGAAUGUUUUCAGAUCUUGUCUUCGCUGUAUUUUGAGUGUGUUUUGCUUUAAUCUUGAAGAACAACUUCUACUAUUAACCAAAUUAAGAUUGUUCAGUUUCUUACUUUUUGAGUAUCAAGACAGUUAUCUCAUUUGAAGCAGUGUAUUCUCUAGAACAAUCAUCUAACUUCUGAAUGUUUCAGGCCUUGUCUUCGUUGUAUUUUGAGUGUGUUUUGCUUUAAUCUUGAAGAACAACUUCUACUAUUAACCAAAUUAAGGUUGUUCAGUUUCUUACUUUCUUCUGAUUAUAAUAAGAGAUCGGAUCGGUUUGAUUUUACCCGGUUAUUACUUUCUUUCAAAGUGGGCCAAAUAACGGGCUAAAGUCACUGGCCCGAUUUUAUAGUGAUUAAAAAAGGAUCUUUAAGCCCAUAAUGACGCGUGAAUACGCGCCUAAACACUCCACUAGUGAGUGACCUUGUCGCAACAGUUCCGGAUUCUCGCUGCCGGCGACGGUGUCGUCUUUGUUCUUCCGGCGAAAGAAAAAGAGAGUCACCGAAGAUUUCAACCUUGCAGCUCCAAUUCUGAAAGAUUCCGACCGAUUCAACCAGAAGAUUUCGCAGGAAACGUUUGAUAAACAACAAAGCUUAAAAUUCUACAGGUAUAUUGUACGUCUUAAAAUUCUUGGAUAAAGAUGGAAUUUUUAAGAGUUGUUUUGUUUAUUAGAUGAUAAAUUUGGGAUUGGACUUGCAAUAGUCGCAGAGAAAAUGACCGGUUACUUACUCUUUCGUUCCAUGUUAAGUAAAUUGGAAUUCUUGAGAGAUGACUUGGUCAGCUUUUUUUUUUUUCUUGCUCAAAUUCUUGGUAAAUUGAUUUGAAAAUCAUGGAAAUAGACAAUUGAUUUCACUUGUUUUGCGUUUGACUUACUUAGGAAAGUUGCAUGAUCACAUCAAUUUGAUUAAAUUGAAAAUAUGUAAUCCAAAGUUUGUGGAGCAAUAUGACUAAGAAAAGUUGGUUUACUGCUUCUUUGGACAUAGGAUUGUCUCUUCUGAACAGUUAAGGGACAAGUACCUAAGUACUAGAGGUUUGAUAACCUUUUGGGAUAUAUGUGUGGAUAUAUGUUAUCUAACUCUUGACUUUCUGAAUGCUAGAACAUACUCCAAGGCAUUUCAGAUUCGUAUGGGAAUAGCAUGAAACAUUUCUGCUAAAGGGAAGUACUUAAGCUUGGUUUUGUUUGCUUCAGUUGACCUUGGAAUAACCAGAGUAGACCAUAAAAUGUUUAUACGUUAUUUUAAUUUACAUGAUGGAUUAGAUUAUGCAAUAAUUAUGGUCGUUGUCAUGGUUUUGUCUUUGAUUAAUAUUAUUAUGAAGUCUUCUAUGUGAUGCUUAUUGGGAAUUUAUCAUCGUUGGCUGGCUAUAAUUCCGUAGAAUAAAAUGUUUGUAAAUGUGGAGGAGAUGGAAUGUUGAAAACUUAGUUUGACUUCUUCUCCUGAAGUUAUGAGUUGACAUUGUUUUGCAGUUUCAGAGAUUGAUUCUUACAGCAGAGAAAAAAUUAUAUGCAUAGGAUUCAGACUCUCUCUUUCAGUGUAAUGACUUGCAGACUACAUCUGGUUUUGAUCUUCUCCUGUGUUCAUCUGAUUUCCCUGUCAGGUCAACAAGAAACCGGGUUUGUCUACAAUGGCUUUGAUCGAGCAGAUCUUUUUAUCGAUGGGCUCGCCAAGAUCCUUCCUGGUGGGUUUUUGCAGUUGACAAAUACCACAGAGCGCCAAACGGGUCAUGCUUUCUUCAAGCAACCAUUUGAAUUUGAUCAAUCUUCAUCACUCUCGUUCUACACUCAUUUUGUGUGUGCGCUGGUGCCUCCUGAGUUGGGAGCUGAUGGUGGCCAUGGGAUUGCCUUUGUUGUAUCUCCUUCCAUGAAUCUCUCUCAUGGAUCUGCAACUCAGUACUUGGGCGUCUUCAGCAUCUCAAGAAAUGGGACUUCUUCUUCUCAUCUGCUAGCUAUCGAGCUCGAUACUGUUACUUCGAUAGAGUUUGAUGAGCUUGAAAAGCCUCAUGUUGGGAUUAAUGUGAACAACCCAAAAUCUGUUGAAUCUGCUCUCCCAUCUUACUUCUCCAAUGCCUUGACGAAUAAUAUAAGCAUAAAUCUCCUGAGUGGGGAGCCUAUCCAAGUUUGGGUGGACUAUGAUGGAUCGUUGCUAAAUGUUUCACUAGCCCCUAUAAAAAUACAGAAACCAGAUCGGCCUCUUAUAUCAAGAUCCAUCAAUCUUUCAGAAUUUUUUCAAGAUAAAAUGUUUCUUGGGUUUUCUGCAUCAACUGGGCAAUUGACCAGUAACCAGUAUAUUCUUCGGUGGAGUUUUAGUAGGAGCAAAGAAUUAUUACAGACCCUGGACCUCUCUAAUCUCCCUCAGGCUCCUCUUCCUAAAGACGAACCAGAGAAGGCUCCUCCGAGAGAUGAACCGGAGAAACUAUCUCCACUGCUUAUUGGUUUGGUCGUCUUGGUCCUUGCAAUGAUGGUUCUCGGAGGACUUUAUUGGUACAGGAGAAACAAGUACGCAGAAGUAAGAGACUCCUGGGAAAAGGAAUACGGCCCGCACCGAUUCUCCUACAAGUCUCUGUACAAAGCAACAAAUGGCUUUCGUAGAGAUGGUCUUGUUGGGAAAGGUGGGUUUGGAGAAGUUUACAAAGGAACUCUCCCUCGAAGCAGACUUAUAGCUGUGAAAAGACUGUCCCACAAUGCAGAGCAAGGAAUGAAACAAUUUGUGGCUGAAGUUGUGACUAUGGGAAGUUUACAGCAUCGGAACUUGGUUCCUCUUCUUGGUUAUUGCAGGAGAAAAGGUGAGUUACUUUUGGUCUCUGAGUACAUGCCUAAUGGUAGUCUUGACCAGUACUUGUUUAAUAACCAAAAUCCAUCUCCUUCAUGGUUGCAAAGAAUCUCUAUUCUUAAGGACAUUGCCUCGGCUCUGAGUUACCUGCUUACAGGAGCCACGCAAGUUGUUUUGCACCGGGAUAUAAAAGCUUCUAACGUCAUGUUAGAUUCUGAGUUCAAUGGGAGGUUAGGUGAUUUUGGUAUGGCAAAGUUUCACGACCAUGGAGCCAACUUAUCUGCAACAGCAGCUGUGGGAACCAUAGGUUACAUGGCACCUGAGCUAAUAACAAUGGGAACUUCUACAAAAACUGAUGUUUAUGCCUUUGGUGCGACCUGUGGAGCCCGUGUUGCCUGUGGAAAAGCAAUACCUGGUCAAAUGGGUUUGUGAACAGGAUUCUUUACUUGAGACCAGAGAUCCAAAACUGGGAAGAGACUUCAUAUCCGAGGAAGUCGAGUUAGUUCUUAAACUCGGGUUGCUCUGCACAAAAGCUGUGCCACAAUCAAGGCCAACCAUGGCACAAGUCGUGCAAUACCUAAGCCUGGACCUACCCUUGCCGGAUAUCUCUCCGUAUACUCCAGGUAUUGGAGCUUUUAUGCCAGUGUCAAUGGUAGCAGAAUCUACCAUUGGGUGUCCACAAUUCAAGAAAUUCAUCAAUACCUAUGUAUGUUACUCACACGAUCUUAGAAGGGCAUGGAAGAUGAGAGAUCUUAAGAAACUGUGUAUGCUUUUUAUCUAAUAUCUUGAGCUACUUAAAUGUUUCAACUUCAAGAAUUAACUGUUGUUGGUUGAGUUUUUGAUCUUGUCUUCUGCAUAGUUUCUAAGUGAGAGGAAAGGUAUUAAUUCAACAUGUAUUGUUAUGCAAUUUUUAUCCAAAUCUCUGCAUUAAAUUAAUUAAUUCUAUACACUACAAAAAUGUAUAAACAACGGUAAAAUCCCUAACGGCUAUAUUAUUUAGAGAAAAAGGAAAUUAUCAGAUCAUUAAAUGAACGCGUUAACAUACUCCACAAAAAAAGGCAAUCAAUCCAGACUAUACAACAAUUAACAACAACAAAAGUAUAUAUGUAUAUAUACGUAAUCAACCCUAAACAUUCGUCACGGUAAUCACAAUUCUCUUCUUCCCCAAAUCUUGAAGCUUUUUUUUUGCCCUUUCGCGCGUAAACUAUGGAUUCUUCAUCUUCUUCUUCCUCUUCGACAAAGAAGAUGAAAUCCAAAUUGUCCGUGAGAAGAAAGCAAACCAGUUUCAAGAAAUCGUCUUCCUCUGUCAACAAAAACAUUCCUUCUGCGAAAAAGAAGACGGAUAUUUCUCGGAGAGAACAGACACUUCUCAACAAAGCCUACGAGCUUUCUACUUUAUGCGAGAUCGAACUCUGCGUAAUCUAUUACAAUCGUGACGGAGAACUCAUCAAGACAUGGCCGGAAGAUCAAUCCAAAGUCAGAGACAUGGCCGAGAGGUUUAGCAAACUAAGCGACAAAGAGAAAAACAAGAAAAGCACAAACCUUUCUCAGUUCUUAAACAAGAAGAUCCACGACGAGAAGAAGAGAGAAGGAGAAGACAACAAAUUCUCGCAGAAAGUCUUGGAGAUUGAAGAUUCUUUGGAAAAUCAUUUACAGAUAUUACAAGAAAGGCUUCGUCAGGUUCUUUACCUCCACGAUCAUCAAACCGAGUCAGACCGGAGCCGCCUUGCGGUUUUAUCCGGUUCUUCAAUGGCCGAGGAACAAAAAAAUCAAAACUUUAUGGGUUCUUCUUCUUCGUCUGGCUUCUUCUCAACGGAUACAUUGAUGAAUUUAUCAAACGAUCAAACUUCAUCAAGCUUCGCAACAGAUUCGUUGAGUCAUCAUCAGAGCAAGGUCUCGAUUUUUCUGUAUAACCAUGAAAACGCUACUCUUACUCAAUUAGCUGACUCUGUUCCAAGCUAUGACCAAGCGUUGACUCCGUAUAACCAGAGGCGGGCCUGGCCAGAAGCUCAAGCAUGUGUUUGGGCCAAUUUGUGAAUCGCCGAGACUUUUUUUUUUUUUUUACAUCUGGGUCUAAAGUUCGAGGCUAGGAAGCUAUGUUUUCUUUAUUAUUUUGCUUAAUUAAACAAGUUGGCAAAUGUUCCUUUUCUUUACAUUCUUUUCUUCUUGUUUUCUUUUUUUUUUUGUCUUUGAGACUAUGUUUUGUAAUUUUGACAAUUUUUUUAAACUGAAAAUAUUUUUAAAUAAAUGAUAAGGGGCCAGAUAUCAAAUUACUUAUAACAAGAUUAUAUAAGUCACAUGAUGUGACUCACAUCUAUCAAAUAAAUACAAUAUAUAUUUUGACUAAUUAGUUUAAGGUAUCUUGACAUUUGAUGAAGUAUAGUAUUGUUUACAUUCAAUUCUUUUUUUUUCUUUUUAUAAUAGAAAAAAUUAAAUCUAUGUUUCAAGAUCUAUACAAAACAAAAUGUACUUAUGAAAAGAAAACACCAUGAAAUUCCAAUUAAAUACGAGAAACAUCAAAAUUCAAGAUAUCAGAUAGAGAUCAAGACAACACAUUAUAAAAUUAUGAAUAAACAGAUCUAUUAAUAGCAUAAAUUAAAUUAUAGUUCUGCUUUAUCAAGCAAAUGUUUUUUUUUUUGGGCAACUAAGUGUAUUUAUCGAAGUUGUUGAUGCUAAAUAUAUAUGCUGGUUAUCGGCCUAUGAAUUAUAGAACAAAAGUUUUAAAAAUUUUCUAGUUGGAUGCUCGUAGGUUGGUCAACCUCGUUGCUAGAAGCGAUGAUCGCCGGAAUUUCUUUUGGUGUAGGAAGUUUGCUUCCACUGCUAAUUGGAUACCAGAUUGAAGAACGCAUAGCACGAAUCGUCGCUCUUAUCGUUAUUAGCGAUAUUUACGGAGCAUUGAUUUUUCUAUGGUUCAAUGCAUGGGAGAGGGAGAUGGAUAUUACACCGUGCAAGAUUUCCACAGUCUCUUUGUUCGUGGUGUUGAUGGCGAUAAUCGCUCUGGUAACCAGACUCUGCGACUUAGCGGAGUGAUAUUGGCGAUCCUGUCCGAGAAUUUCAGAUGUUUUUUUGUAGAUGAUUUGUUUUACGUUGAUUUCUGUUGUUGAGAAUUUUAGAUGUUUUCUUGUAGAUGAUUUAUUUUACGUCGAUAUCGAUUUUUGUUGUUGAGAAUUUUAGAUGUUUUCUUGUAAAUGAUUUGUUUACGUCAAUAUUGUUUUUUUUUAGUUAUUUUGAUUGGUUUGUGAAUAAUGUGAAUGGGGCUGGCCACGAUUUCAAUGUAUAGGAGGAAUUUUUAAUGAAAAUUAGGUUUCUGUUAUAAAUAAACUUGUUAUUAAAAUCAAAGCAAACACUAAUACGACAUUAAAAAAAAAAUUAACAUACGUGAAGAGAGAUGACAUUAGUGGACAAUUAUAAUCAUGUCUUAAUUUGGCUUUUUUGUCUACAAUCAUAUCGAUUAGCUGUGAUUUUCAUUUAAAUUCAAAAUUAUUAUUUUUAUUAUUAAAAAUUAAGAAAACCUGAGCAACAAUAAUUAAUUAACAUGAAUCUCUUAGUGAUGUUAAAUUUUGUCAAAAAGUAUACAAGUAAAUCAAACAUGUAAUUGGAGUUUUUGAGCUUAUAAAUUUGUGGAGGAUCUAUUUUUUAAAAGAUUUAAUGAUUUGUAUGGUUUAAUAGUGUGACAAAUAAAUGAAUAAUCAAAAUUUUAUGAUCAAAAUUAGUUUACCAAAAAAAAAAAUUUCCUUGCUUAUAGCCUCUAAAUUUCAGGACGGGCUCUACCUAUAAUAAUAACAAUCAUCUUUGGGCACAAGGAUUUGGUGACCUGAUGAGAAGUUGCAGUGACAAGACACAAAAUCCACUUCUCCAGUGUGGUCAGUAGAAUCAGAUACCACCUUGUUAUGGAUGUUAUCUUCUUGUGAUUAGGUCUUGCUCUCCAAGAUCUCAAGAUAUGAUCUUGACUUGUUGCUAGGUCGUCAACAUUAUUCUUAUAUUCAAAAUUAUGUAUUCUCAUUGAGGAAGUUAGGCUUUAUUAUAUGUAUUGAGUUUUAAUAUGACUAUGUAACAACAGUCUCUUCUCGUUCUUCAUUCCAAAAUUUGUAAUGAAUCGAUAAUUCAUCAAUUCAAUUCUUGUAUUAAGAGUUUUAAUAAAUUCACGCUUUCGUAAAACUAUAUACAAUGGUCUAAUACUAUAAACCAUUGUAUAGACAAAAGUUAUACAGAGAAAUUUUCCACAUCUGUUAAUGGAAAAUUUGAAAAAUCAAAUAAAAACUUUUUUACAACAGAAGUGAUAAAAGUGUAAAAUUGUUAAGGACUCGCUGAGAUAGAUGAUCCAGAGCGGCAAUGAGAUCUCUAAGCUGUACUACCAAAGAAUGUGAAGAAAGUUGUUAGAUUUCAUCUUCCAUCACCAUAAAUGAUUGUGUGAGAAAUGAACAUUGAGUUGUUGGCAGAGGAAGAAGAAACUGAUGAGGCCAUUGAAGUGGAAGUGAUUGCUAAGGAAGGUAAACCCAUUAACACCGGUGUAGAAACUCCAAUUCCAGGAGUAUCUGGAGAGAAAUCAGGCAACGUUUUGUGUCUGUUGAUGUAUUGAACCACUUGCUCCAUUGUUGGUCUUGAAUCGGGUACAAUGCUUGUACAUAGCAACCCAAGUUUCAGAACCAUUUCGACUUCCCCAUGGAUGAAUUUACUUCUCAAUCUUCUAUCUACAGCUUCAUCUAGUGAGCCCUUUCUCCAGCAUUCAAAAACCCAUUUGACCAAAUGUCGUUUCUCAACCGGCAUGUCUGGAUCAAAUGGUCUCCUCCCACAUGUUACUUCAAGCAUGAAUGCACCAAAUGCAUACACAUCGGUCUUAGUGGAAGUUCCUGUUGAUGUUAGCUCAAGCGCCAUGUAACCUAUGGUUCCUACAGCUGCUGUUGCUGAGAGAUUAGCUCCAUUAUCAUCAAACCUAGCCAUCCCAAAAUCUCCUAAAAAACCUUGUAAAUUCCCAUUUAACAUGACAUUAGAAGCUUUGAUAUCUCGGUGUAACACAACUUGACUUGCUCCUGUAUGCAAGUAACAGAGCGCAGAUGCGAUAUCUUUCAAAAUAGCAAGUCUUUGUGACCAAGAGAGAGGCGGUUUAUCACAGUGAAACAAAUACUGAUCAACACUACCUCCUUCCAUGUACUUAGACACCAGCAAUAACUCUCCUUUGCGCCUGCAAUACCCUAGAAGAGGAACCAGAUUCUUGUGCUGCAAGCUUCCCAUUGUCACAACUUCAGCAACAAACUGUUUCAUCCCUUGCUCUGCAUCGUGUGAUAGUCUCUUCACCGCUAUAUCUCCCACAAGAGGUAGAGUUCCUUUAUAGACUUCUCCAAAACCACCUUUUCCAAGACGAUCAUCUUUGUUAAACCCUCUUGUUGCUUUAUACAAAGAUUUGUAAGAAUAACGAAGUGGACCAUAUUCUUUCUCCCAUGGCUCUUUAACUUCUGCGUAUUUCUUCCUCCUGUACACAAAAACUCCUCCAAGAGCCACCAUUACUAUAAGCGCGAGUAUAACCAGUAGAACAAUAAGCAGAGGAGAUGUUUUCUUGUGUAUCUUGGGACGAGGAACAGAGGGGAGUUUUGACAAGUCAAGACUCUGUAAUGAAACUCUGCUUCUGCUGAAACUCCACCCCAAGAUGUAUUGGUAACUGAUCAAUGAUCCAGUUGCUGCAGAAAACCCGACAAACGCUUUUCGAUCCGGAAAGAUUUCUGUAAGAUUUAUCGUUCUUGACAAGAGAGGCUUACUUGGCUUUUGAUCUCUUAUAGGAGCUAAUGUAACAUUGAGUAGAGUAUCUUCAUAAUCAAUCCAUACUUGUAUUGGAUCUCCACUCAAGAGUGUCAAGCUUUUGUUGGUCCUUUCUCUGUCUGAAUAAUAACUUGCUGGAGCAGACACAACAGAUUGGAGGCUGUUUACGUCUAUACCGACAUGAUUCUUGUCGAUGUCGUCAAACUCUGCGCUCUGGACGGUAUCAAGCUCGAUAGCUAAAAGCUGAGAAGAAGGAGAUCCAUUAGUUGAGAUGUUGAAGAGUCCUAAGUAUUGAGUUGGAUCUGCUUGUGUGAGAUCCAUUGAAGAUGAUAGAACAAAGGCAAUCCCAUGACCACCAUCAGCUCCUGGUUUAGGAACCAAAGCGCAAACGAAGUGAGUUGAGAAAGAAAGUGAUUGAGAUGAAACCGAACCGAAAUCGAACCGGCGGUUGAAAAAAGCGUGACCCAUUUUCUGAGCCGUGGCAUCGGUUAGCUGCAACAAUCCGUCUGAGUUUUGGAAUCUUGCAACGCCGUCUAGGUGAAGAAUGGCUUGGCCUUGGUUGAAGCCAUUGUAGACGAAACUCAAGUCUUGUUGACAUGAAAAAGAAAUCAGAUUAGCAAAGAAGAUUACAGAGAGAAGAAGAAGAAGAUGAUGAUUUAUUUGAGCCAUUUUGGUAAUGGAAGAUUAUAGAGAGAAGAUUUUCAAGAACGUUUUCUGGAUUUCAAGAAUCACAAAAUUCAAGUUAUAAGGGAACGAGUUAAAACCCAAUUUUCGAUGUUCCAAGUCCACGAAAAAUAUUCUCUCUAGGCAUUAGUUGACUUUUGACUUUUAUUUAUAUAUGUAACCGUGAUAGUUACUCUAAAAACAAUAGUUUUCUUAGAAUUUAGAAAUAUACUAAUUCUUCUUUAGAAAAGUAAAUGGUCUGUACAGUCUACUCUCGUUUAUAACAAUGUCAAGUCGAAUUAAAUUAAGAUGAAAUAUCCUACAAAAAAACAAUAAUUGGUAAAAGACAUCCAUGAAAUUAACAAAGAUUUUUUCAGCUAUACUUUUGGAGACGAAGGUGUGUGUUGAAUAAUUGAGUUCCGUGACCAUGGGAAGAGGAGAUGUGGUAAACUGGUAACUUGCUAAAGAAGCAUCCAGUAAAAGUCCUACUCUAUUUGUCAAAACCCAUUUCUUGCUUUAUACACGAAACUGAACCGAAAUCGAACCGAACUUACCCGUUUGAGUCAUGAUAAAUUACUGUAAUGAGUAAUUAUCUAGUAUAACCAAAGAAUCUUUGAGUAAUAGAGCUUUUAUUAAAUGGAUGAUAGAAACAAUUAUACAAUACACAAAAAAGCCGGAUAAAGAAUCAAAUAUGUGAAGAUUAGGAUCAUACAAUUUCUAAAUAAUAGUUCUUCGUACGAAAUUAAUAUCCAAAAACCAGUGUUCUACAAAAUCGCUUACACAGUUGUAUGUAUGCAGGCCCGGCCUUUUGAGGGUAGAUGGAGAUGACCAGGGCAUUCACUCUAAAGGGCCAUAUUUUUGCUACAUCCACUCAAAAUAGACAUAUUUUUGUUAAAAAAAAAAUAUUAGGGAUCAAUCUCUACCUUUUCUUGAAUCCAAAUUUGAACAGUUCUAAAAGUAUGAACAAACUUUUGAGAUAUUUAUGGUUGAAAAAUUCGACUAUAACAGUUUAAUGAACAAUUUUGCACGAAAAAAUGCAAAAAGAUAUAUAUUUCAGCAAUAAACUAUAUGUUUUGUGGGAUUUUUUCUUUUCUUACAAACUGUUUAUGAAGUUUGAUUGUUUUAUGAAGUUUGAUUAUUUUAAUUUUUAUUAUUUUAAUUUUGAAAAAAAAUAAAAAGAUAUAUUUAAAAAAAUUAGACGCGAACAUCCAAAUUGAUCAGCAAACAACAGUUACGCGUGUAUAUAUGUUAUAUGGUUAGAACAAAAUUGUUGUUUGCUAAUAUAAUUAGUUUAUAGAAUGCAAAUUAAUACUGACAUACAUACGGCAUUUAUACGGUAUAUGAGUAUAUCAAGAAUUUUUUUUUUUUUCAAAUAACCAGAACUACAUAGUUUUACUCCAUUAAAAAUUAACCCUACAAUCAUCAUACUAGGAAUGCUCAAGUAUGGAUUUGUUGAUGGGAUUGUUGAUGAUGGAAGUAUGUACUUGGUUAUAGAAGAAAUGAAACAUAUGAUUUCAAUUAAGUCAGAGAGUUACAUGAAAAAAAUUCAUAUGUGAUAAAGAAGAACUUUCAUAAAUCAAUUUUGAGCCUACGGGCGACCACAUUCUAGAAUUAUAGAAGGGAAGAAUGGGGAUUGGAGAGUAAUUUAGUUGGUAUGCUUAUGUUUUCCAUUUCAUUUGAUGAUAAAUUUAAUAAACAUUUAUGUUCAUAUGAAAGUUAAGAUUUGAGAUUUCAUUAUGUCUUUUAGAGUUUUAUUUAAAUCUUUUGAUACUAUUAUUACUUUAUUAAUGUUUAUUACUUACUUGGAAAUUUAUUUGGUAUGCAUGCAUAUUGUUUUUUAUUAAUAAUCAUCAAAAAAUUAUUUAUAUGUUCAUUUUUAGUAAAAAAUUGUGUUUCUAUAUGAAUAUAUUUAUUAAUUGUAUGUUUAAUAAUUUUCUUUAAUUUACAUAUAAAUAAGUAUGAGCCAAUUUCAAAUAAUUGAAGAAUUAAAUAAGCAUUUUCCCUGUUUCUCUGUUUGGCUCAAAUUCGGUCCCAUUUUCUUUAACUACAGUUAGUCAGUUACUACACUAAUUAUUUUUGUUUCUUACAAUAAAUGUAGGGACUUAAAUUAUUGUUUCUACAUACAAAAAUAAAAAUUAAAUUAAAUUAUUGAUUACAAUGCAUCGUAUUUAUACCAAAAGGGAAACAAGUAUAUAAAAAUAAAUUAAAAUUAAGUGUUAAUUAUAGGAAAUUUGCCGAUCCCUGAAGCUUCAACACCGUUUGUUCUUCCUUGUUCUCCGCCGCAAUCUCUCCGCUUCAAUGAGAGAUGAAAUUCUUCUCAGAGAAGCUUCUUCUUCCACAUUCCUCUUAGCACCCAAAUCGCGCUUUCGCGUUACGAUUCGAAAAAGUAAGUUCUCUUUUCUUCAUCCUCAAAAGUAGAUCGUAUUUGUAAGGAAUCGAGCUAGCCUCUCAAGGAAGGAACAUUACCCAGAUUAAUCGUGAAAAUUCUCCGGUUUUGUGCCUUAGAAACCCUAAUUUAUGAUGUUCCUUAGAGAAUUUUGAUUCCUCUCUGUGAUUCCCAUAAUGGCAAUGGUGGAGAAGAAUGGCUCUACAAUCGGGUAUGUAGCCCGAAACCUCCUCCUCUGCUUAUUCCUUGUCACAACGAUCCUCUUUGCUCUCUCUUGUUACUUUGUGUUGCGUUCCACUGCACACAAUCGCUUCCUUAGCUCAACAUUUCCAUCAAAAUCGUUCCUUGACGAUGUGAAUGUGAAAGAGGCAAAGCAAGAGAAAGAGAAUUGUAGAUGCAGCAAGGAACCUCUUAAGGUUUACAUGUACGACAUGGAUCCUGAGUUUCAUUUCGGAUUGUUAGACUGGAAGCCUGAGAAGAAGAAUAGUGUGUGGCCUGAUAUUCAAAAGUAUAUACCUCCUUACCCUGGAGGCUUGAAUUUGCAACACAGCAUUGAGUAUUGGCUCACUUUGGAUAUUCUUGCAUCUGAGUAUCCAAACGCACCGAGAGCUAUUGCUGCGAAACGGGUUCAUAACUCUACUGAAGCUGAUGUUAUCUUUGUGCCGUUUUUCUCUUCUUUGAGUUAUAAUCGGUUCUCUAAAGUGAACCCUCACCAGAAAACCAGCAGGAACAAGGAUCUGCAAGGAAAGCUUGUUGCUUUUUUGACUACUCAAGAGGAAUGGAAGAGAUCUGGUGGUAGAGACCAUGUGGUUCUUGCUCAUCAUCCGAAUAGCAUGUUGGAUGCUAGGAAUAAGCUGUUUCCUGCAAUGUUUAUACUCUCUGACUUUGGAAGGUACCCUCCUACUGUGGCCAACGUUGAGAAAGAUAUUAUUGCGCCUUAUAAACAUGUCAUCAAAGGGUACGAAAACGAUACGUCCGGUUUCGAUACUAGACCGAUUCUGCUUUACUUUCAAGGUGCCAUCUACAGGAAAGAUGUGAGUUCUUCUGUUUGCCUUGCUUUAGUGCUUGUUGUUUCGUUAUUGUUCUUCACAAAUGGGAUUCAGGUGUUUUAAUGCAAGUGAACUGUCCUCUACGUUGCUUUGAUUAAACACUGAAUAUUGGUUUGCUUCAAUGUGUUAUAAUAUCUCAGGGAGGGUUUGUGGGUCAAGAAUUGUUCUUCUGUUGCCUUGCUUUAGUGCUUGUUGUUUUGUUAUUGUUCUUCACAAAUCGGAUUCUGAUGUUUUAAUUCAAGUGAAUUCUCCUCUACGUUGCCUUGCUCAAAUAUUGAAUAUUGGUUUGCUUUAAUGUGUUAUAAUAUCUCAGGGAGGGUUUGUGCGUCAAGAAUUGUUCUACCUCUUGCAAGAUGAGAAAGACGUGCAUUUCUCGUUUGGGAGUGUGAGAAACGGAGGCGUAAACAAAGCAAGCCAGGGAAUGCACAACUCCAAGUUCUGUCUCAACAUUGCUGGAGACACUCCUUCAUCAAACCGUCUCUUUGACGCCAUUGCCAGUCACUGCGUACCUGUCAUCAUCAGUGACGACAUUGAGCUUCCUUUUGAGGACGUUAUUGAUUAUUCUGAGUUCUCGGUGUUUGUUCGCACCUCUGAUGCCUUGAAAGAGAAUUUUCUGGUUAACUUAAUAAGGGGAAUAACCAAAGAGGAAUGGACACGGAUGUGGAAUAGAUUAAAGGAAGUGGAGAAAUUCUAUGAGUUCCAUUUUCCGUCGAAAGUAGAUGAUGCAGUGCAGAUGAUAUGGCAAGCGAUUGCACGGAAAGUCCCUGGUGUUAAAAUGAGGAUUCAUAAGUCUCGAAGGUAUUCUAAAUCUGUUUCUGAGACAGAGAGAGAAUCAAGAUGGUCGUCAUUGAUACCUCGGAGUUUCUGGUGAAUAAAGAUGAGAUUUUUGUUGUUCUUCGUUUUCUCAGGAAGGCCAUCGAAUUGUUUUUGUGUAGAGAGAAGUUUAUGUUGGAUCAGAUGAUUUGUGAACUUUUUCUCCAAAUCAUAGGUUAUAGACAGAGAGAUAAGUCUUAUUCUAAUUGGUUUCUGCAUUUCACCAUAGAAAAAUAAUAAUGUUGUAAGUUGAUGAUUUGUUAAUUGUUCAUUUAGAUCUCUUUUUAUGGUAAAACAUAGUUUCUAAUAGAUAAACAGCUUUUUGAGUAUAUUAAGUUUAUUUCAACGCUGCUUACAAAGACAAGAAGAUGAGGAAGACUAGCUGUUUUACUUUACAUUAUCAAUCAACAACAUAGUUGUGGCUUUAAAGUUUAAAACAUUGUAGUAGCCAAACAGAUUUAGAUACAGAGAAAUACACAGUUUCUUAAAAAUCUCAUCUCCCAUGCCCUUCCAAGAUCGUGUGAGUAACAAACAUAGAAAACGAUGAGUUCCUCAAACUGGGGAACACAAUAGCAGAUAAGGCUUCCAUUGAGACUGGCAUAAAAGCUCCAAUACCUGGAGUAUACGGCGAGAAAUCCGGUAAGGGCAGGUCCAGGUUUAGGUAUUGCACCACUUGUGCCAUGGCAGGUCUUGAUUCUGGCACAGCAUUUGUGCAGAGCAAACCGAGUUUCAGAACCAACUCGACUUCCUCAGCUGAGAAAUCUCUUCCCAAUCUUGGAUCUCUGGCCUCGAGUAAAGAAGCGCUCUUCCAGCAUUCACAGACCCACUUGACCAAAUAUUUAUGUUCCACUGACAGCUCAGGUUCCAUAGGUCGCCUUCCACAAGUUACCUCAAGAAGGAAAGCACCAAAGGCAUAAACAUCGGUUUUUGUAGAAGUUCCCAUUGUUAUUAGCUCAGGUGCCAUGUAACCUAUGGUUCCCACAGCUGCUGUUGCAGAUAGGUUGGCUCCAUGAUCAUAAAACUUUGCCAUACCAAAAUCACCUAACCUCCCAUUGAAAUUGGAAUCUAACAUGACGUUAGAAGCUUUUAUAUCCCUGUGCAAAACAACUUGUGUGGCUCCUGUAUGCAAGUAACUGAGAGCAGAGGCAAUAUCCUUAAGAAUAGAGAUCCUUUGCAACCAUGAAGGAGAUGGGUUUUGGUUAUUAAACAAGUACUGGUCAAGACUACCAUUAGGCAUGUACUCAGAGACCAAAAGUAACUCACCUUUUCUCCUGCAAUAACCAAGAAGAGGAACCAAGUUUCGAUGCUGUAGACUUCCCAUAGUCACAACUUCUGCCACAAACUGUUUCAUUCCUUGCUCUGCAUCGUGUGAAAGUCUUUUCACAGCUAUUUGCCUGCUCAAGGGAAGAAUUCCUUUGUAGACUUCUCCAAACCCACCUUUCCCAACACGACAAUCUCUGCCAAACCCUUUUGUUGCUUUGUACAGAGACUUGUAAGAGAAUCGAUGUGGACCGUAUUCCUUUUCCCAAGAUUCUCUUACUUCUGCAUACUUGUUUCUCCUAUACAAAUAAACUCGCCCAAGAACCACCAGCACAAGGAUCACCAAUAAGAUGAUCAAACCAAUAAGCAGUGGAGAUAGUUCCUUUUUCUCCUCUCUAGGAGGAGGAACCAGAGGGAGUUUAGAGAGGUCCAAGGCCUGUAAUAGCUCUUUGCUUCUACUAAAACUCCACCCAAGUAUAUAAUGGUUACUGAGAAGGUUCCCUGUUGAUGCAGAGAACCCAACAUACAUCUUAUCUUGAAAUAUUUCAGACAGGUUGAUGGAUCUUGACAUAAGAGGCUGAUCUGGUUUCUUAAUUUCUAUAGGGGCCAGAGAAACAUUUAAGGAAGAUCCAUCGUAAUCCACCCAGACCUGGAUAGGCUUCCCACUCAGGAGAUUUAUGCUGAUAUUCUUCUUUAAGGUGUUGGAAAAAUAAGAAGGAAGAGCAGAUUCAACAGAUAUGGGGCUGUUCAGAUCAAUCCCAACAUGAGGCUUUUCCAACUCAUUAUACUCUAUUGUCUUGACAGUAUCAAGCUCAAUAGCCAGUAGAUGAGAAGAAGAAGAGGAAGUAGCAUUUGUUGGGUUGCUGAAGACGCCCAUGUACUGAGUUGCGAGUGCAUGAGAGAGGUCCAUGGAAGGAGAUACAACAAAGGCAAUCCCAUGGCCACCAUCAGCUCCCAACUUAGGAGGCACCAGCGCACACACGAAAUGUGUAAAGAACGAGAGUGAUGAUGAAGAUUGAUCAAAAUCAAAUGGUUGCUUGUAGAAAGCAUGGCCCGUUUGUAACUCUGUAGUAUUUGUCAACUGUAAAAGUCCACCAGGUAGGAUCCUGGCGAACCCACCCAUAAAAAUAUCUGCUGCUUGUUCGAAGCCAUUGUAGACAAACCCGGUUUCUUGUUGUUGACUUGACAGGCAAAUCAGAUGAACGCAUGAGAUGAUCAAAACAAGAUGAAGUCUAAAAGCCAUAGCUACUGAAAGAGAGAGUCUGAAAUUGGUGGAAAUAAUUUUUUUUCUUUGGUAACAAGCAAUCUCUUGAGCUACAGAAACUAGGUCUAGUCAUAACUUCAGGAAAAGUCAAACUAAAAUGUCAACAUUCCAUAUCUCGUCCACAAUUCGUAGAAAUUGCUAAGGAAAAUAUUGUCAGCCAACUUGCAAAUAUAUUCACAAAUAGGCAUCACACAGCUGACUUGAAUAUAAUUUAAACAAAAACGCGAGUGACAUAUCAUAACAAAACAAUAGAGAAUAACUCCAGAGAAAACAGCAAAACAAUUUUUGAGAGGUUUGAUAAAUUACUUUAUUUUGGUACUUUUCUAGGAAAAUAAUAUUACAAGAAUAUAUCAUUCAUCAAGUAACGCCUUUUCCUUGCAAAAAGUUGCAGUCUUUGCCUACAGAGCAAUUUCCACAAAACACUUAAAAAGUAGAGACAUGAACUAUGGAGCAAAGAAACAAUGAAAAUUAUAAGAUAUCAUCCAUAUUAAAUGAACAGGGAAAUAUACAUAUCAAAAUUUAAAUCGCCUUUGCUUUCUUCCCAUAGUAGAAAAAUGGUGUGUAGUAGUAUAGGAAGAUCAAUUUGUUACUGAAAAAGCCAACAUUAUCAGACAGAUUUGUUACCGGUAAAUAAAAUGUAAUCAAGACUCUGUCAAAAAGAAGUAAAUUUCCCACCCUCAAGUUAGAUAACCUAAAAAGAGAAAAAAAUAAAAGAUAGAACAGUUUAUCAUCUCCCCAUCAACCACAUAGCAAAGUAACUCUCCACAGCACUGUUAACUUACCAAAGAGAAAAACGAAUUGAAUCUACUCAUGAAGUAAAACCAAAUCACAGACUUAUGUUAUAGUGUCACAGUGAAUAGUUUAUUAGGUUACAAGAUAGAACAUUCAGCUAGAAAGUCAAUCUAUCAGAAUAUAUAUCCAAUUGGUGGAGAAUCCAAGUAACAGAUGCCAGGAGCGUCUUGGGAUCGGACUAGAGGAGAAGACACGAUGUCUUAGUCCGUGUGACAUGUUUUUCUCUGUUUCCUCACAUUAGGUAAAGCAACAACUCGAAUAAAUGAAAGAAAACCGGUCCAACUACAGUGGAACACAGCUCUAACCCCUCAGUGUCCCCGUGACAUACUCAGGAUCGGAGUCAGGAACAGAAUCGAGACUCUUAGGUUCUUCAAGAUCAUGAAGGCUUGUUGAUUCUUCAAGGCCUUGGGAACUCUCGAUAUUAAUGUACUCGCUGUCGCUGAUGAUAAUAAAGGAAUCCUCCUCCUUCUUGAGACGCUUCGGAGUGUGCUCUGCCACACAUUCCACACAUAUGUUCCCUUGCUCUACUCCACAAGACUCCUCCCUCGAAUGUACUUUGACUUCCACUGAACUUUCUUUAAGAGUCUGCUUCUUGGCCGCUAAUGGUCCGCAGCCUGGUGGCCAAUCGCGAACGACAUAGUACUUAGGGCGUGGUUUGAUCUUAGUUUCCAUGUUAUCCCAAAGAGGAUCAUGAGCUCUCUUCUUCGCUUCCUCAAAGGUCCUCGGCAUUCUGCAAAAAGCGAGAUUCGAGUUAGAAUUUGGCAAACCGAAAGAUCAUAUACUAAGUUCAGGUUAUGUUAGGUGAUUUGAAGUAUUUAUUCGUAUCACUCGUUAUCAAACAAUCAACAACACUAUAUAGUAUAAAAACCUAACAAAUAUAUAUAUAAGAUACUUAGGUCGAUUUAGACUUGGACUAUACGUAACCUUAUAGAUAUUAUAUCGUAAGGCGGAAAAUAGCAUACGAGUCCUUACUUUUAGUCUUUCGCGUGAAAAGUAAACGCUGAUGUAGUCGAGAUGGUGUUAACGAUGAAACAGUACGAGGAUGAUGAACAAGAACGUGGCCGAGAAGCAAGCAGAGAUGCGAGGUCGGGAUCAGAGGAAGAGUGGUGGUUUCGGUGAAGAAGUUGGAUAAUGGUAAAUUGGUAAUUAACUGAGGAUGAAAACGCCGGUGACUCUUUCUCGAUCUACACGGUGCAGCUUUAGGGUUUAAAUAAAGGGAGAUGGGGAACAAACGAUUGGGCCAAAUUGGGCCAAAACCGACAUGAGCUAUUGUCGGCAUUAGAUCGAUAUAAAGGUGGUCGGUUCCAUCUAUAAUGAGAAAACUUCCCGAAAACUUACAUGUUCUUGCACCCAAAAAAAAAGACUACUUAAAUAAGGAAUAAAUUACAUAGACAUAAGGAUACUUUGAGAGUUUUUUUCUUCUUUCCUUGUUCUCUCUUUAAAUCUUUCACAAGGAAAGAAUGCUUUUCUCUCUUGUUUUCGAUCUUUUGAUCGAUGUGUUUUUGUUUUUAUCAGAUUCCGACUUAGAUCGGAGAAUAAUAUUCCGGCUUUGACCGGAUUUUCACUUUCCGUUUUUCAGAUUUCCUUUUGCUAUUUAAGAUCGUUUCUUCACUGAAUCUUAAUCUUUGCUAAUCCUUAGUGGAGCAAAGAUCUUUAUAAAGUUGAAGAUUCGAUUAAAGUGAGCUUUUAUAUGAUAAGGUAAAAGGUUUUCUGUAUUCGGAUUUGUGUGUCUCUUCUACAGGUUUUGCAGAUCCGGUGAUGAUAAAUUCUCUAAUCCAUCGAAUGGUAUCAUCCUCUCCUGACCGGGAGUAGAAUCUCCCUAAAUCCUCUACUAAGUGCCUUUGUCAAGGCGGAGGGAAUUAGUCAUGAAGCGGUGAUGAUCGGAGGUGACUUUAUGGAGGAGAAAAAUCAAUUGGGAUCUGCUAUAAUCAUUUGUAGAAGAAGUUUUACAUGAUUUUUUUUGAAGAAGACAACCUCGAUCUACUGGAUUUCUGCAACAUGACGGUCGGAGUUCAUCAGAUUUGGUGACCGGCGAAGUUGAUUCCGACGAGGUGUUGCGGCGUUUCUCGUGUCAAUCCUAGUUUCAUAUUAGAAUUCCACGUGUUAUACACGUGUUGUGAUGUCAUCAGUAGUUAUCUGAUUUAAUUCUAAUGGGUUUCAGUUGGGUUUAAAUUGUAUGAGUUUCGGGUUGGGCUUCGAAAACAUCUUGUAAGCUGCUACGUUGGGCUUUGAUCUAAUCAAAAGACGACAAAAAAAAAAAAUUACAUAGACAUAAAAGGUAUGAACUUAUGUAUGUUAUUUACCUGGACAGAUUAGAUACUAAAUUAGUCAACACUAAUUACCGUUUAUUUGUCUUGAUUUUCGUUAAUUUUUUCGUUAAAAUUAAAAUAUUG
rnacentral:lncRNA from 1 species